rnacentral:lncRNA from 1 species
UUUUUUUUUUUUUUUUUUGGGUGUUCUAAGGGGAAGGGCUGCUUGAUAGGAAAACAGAGGCAUUAAUGUUGGGACAGAAGCAUCACUUUCAAUUAUGCUAUUUAAGUUCAAUCAUACUCUUUAAGUCUGAUCUAAUCUAAUUCAUAGUCAGCUGAGGACCGGCAUUACUGAAUGGUGCUGCCAUAAAUCACUGGAGUCCACCUACAAAAAAAAAAAAAAAAAAAAAAGAACAACCAAUCCGUGCUAUGUAUGGGUUUAUAUCUUCAAAGAAAUAAUAAAAAUUUAUAUAAUAAGUAAAAGGUAAAAAGUUCAAGAGAGUAUCAAUGUAAUAUCAAUUUAUACUGAAAUGUAUUAUUGUUAAUAAAAAGCAAAGAAAAAAAUUGAAUAGAGUAUGUUACUUUAAAUUAAAAAAAAAAAGCAUGAGAGAAACUUAUUGUAUUAUUAUUAUGGAUAAUUUCAAGUCUAUAUAUAUCCAUAUACGGUAAAUAUCUGGUACUUAUGAUAGUAAAAUAUUGUUAUUAUGGCAAUAUUAUUAAGUAAAUUUAAUUAGUAAAAUAGAAAUAUGAAACUAAUAUUGUUAAGUAAAUUUAAUAUCAUAAAAUGAUGAUGAAAUGUAAAUUUAAUAUUUCUCUGAAGUGAAUUUAAUAUUGAUAAGUAAAAUUUAUUCCUCUCCAACUCUUCCCAACCACCACCCUACCUCACCACCUAGGGAUGGCAAUUCACAAGCACCCGCCCUACGAUGGGAGUGAUGGGGUGGGAGGUAGGACAAGGGAGAUUUUCCUCCACCCGCUCUUAAAUGGGGUGCAGGAGGAUACCUCCGCCCCAUCCCCUGUAUUAAUUAAUUAAGUAUAAAUAAUAUUAUUAAUACAUCUAUGUUUUUCCAUGUUAUGUUGGUUUAAAUUAUUAGCAAAAGUAAUAUUAUUAAUAGUACUAUUAGUAGUUGUGGUGGUAAAAUUAAUCUUUUCUAAUGAUAAAGGCACCAAGAGAGAAGGGGAAAAAAAAAAAGGGAAGUGCCCACACGGGGGGAAUGGGAUAGGGAGCGAGGGCAGGGGAUGAUAUAUGGCAAUGGGGUAGAGGGUGGAAGUGCAUUCCCCCGCCCCAAUGCCACUCCUACCUCACCUUCGUACUUCCCUCUAUCACUCCUAAUUAUAUUUUCCUAUCCUUAUAGUGUAACAAUAUGUAUUGGAUUUUCCAUAUUACUAUAUGCUACUAUUCUUUUUUUUCCCCGAUAAAGAUACAAUCUCGUCUAUACUUGUAAUUAAAAAAAAAAAGUAAAAUAGCUGAUACAACUUUAUCAUUAUUGUAAAAAUACCCCAUAACUAAAACUUAUUCAAAGUUCUAGUUGAACGGAACCAUUAAUCCCUUGGGGUCAUUUUUAAUUAAGGUAGUAGAUAUCAGAACACUGAUUACUAGUUUAGUAAUUACGAUUACAACUAAAAUUAUUAGGUCAUGCUGCCCCCCCCCCCCCCCCUCUCCAAUCACGUCUGAUGCAUCUUUGUUUCAUUGGGGAGAGACCUAUUUGCUCUGCCUUUGUAAUCUGAAAGAUGUUAACUAACCAAAUCACUGAGAGGAGUUCAUUAGUGUACAUGAAUUAUGUGAAGAGUAGCAAGUCAUUGCGGGGUCUAAACGUCAUGCUAAUGGAUCUUUCACUCUCCCCAGUCAUUGCGGGGUCGAAAGACUCGAAUCGCGUAGAACGACCUCAAUCUGUACAAAUCCAUUGACUCCGAAAAUGCACAAAACGCCCAUCGACCUGCCAGGUUUACUUUGACGGCUUUCUCAUGGAAAAAGAAAAAGACCCAACCAACCAAUCCUUUGCUUUCUUUCUUUUACCAAUUUCUGGUAACGAAACAGUACAAGGCUGAUAUGUCUAGUUGAUGGGGUUAUAAUCUCUUUACUUGUCCCAUUUUCGAGCUCCUGGGUUUCACAAACAAUUGUAUCCAAUGAGGAUUCUUCUCUUUCCUUGGCUUUUCUUGAUACCCUUACUCCAAAUUUUAUCAUUCAGACACUUUCUCUUGGCCUCUGGCCAAUGUCUUGAAGAUCAGAGGUCCCUGUUGCUGGAAUUGAAGAACAGUCUCACGUUUAGCUCCACCAGUUCAGCCAAACUGGUGCUCUGGAACAGUAGCAGCGACUGUUGCCUCUGGGAUGGGGUAGGAUGUGAUAGCACUGGUCAUGUGAUCAGGCUGGAGCUUGAGAACCAAGCAAUUUCCGGUCAACUAGAGCAUUCGAGUAGUCUGUUCGAUCUUCAGUAUCUUGAGAGAUUGAAUUUGGCUGUCAACAGCUUCAGCUCUACUAUUCCCACUGGAUUAUCUAAACUUGCAAAUCUGACGUACCUGAACUUGUCUGAUGCUGGUUUUGUCGGGCAAAUUCCUAGGGAUUUGGCACGUAUGAGCAGGUUGGUUACUCUUGAUCUCUCAACCGGCUUUCCUGGAGUUCAGCUACUGGAAAUGGAGAAUCCAAAUCUACAAACACUAAUUCAGAACCUCAUGGAGCUCCGAGAACUUUACCUUGAUGGUGUCAAUAUUUCAGCUCAGGGGGGUGAGUGGUGCAACGCUUUAUCAUCUUUACCCAAUUUAAGAGAAGUCAGCUUGUCCAGCUGCUGUCUUUCAGGUCCUAUCAGCUCAUCCCUUUCAGAGCUCCAUUCGCUCUCGGUCAUCAAUCUUAACUACAACAACCUCUCAACUACAGUUCCAGACUUCUUUGCAAAUUUCUCAAAUUUGACAUCAUUGAGUCUCAGCAGUUGUAAUCUACUGGGAGAAUUUCCAGAGAAGAUACUCCAAUCCCCAAUGUUGCAGAAUAUAGAUUUGUCAAACAAUAACUUCGUUACAGGCACUUUGCCACAGUUUCCAGAGAAUGGAUCUUUCAAGACAAUAGUGAUUAGUUCUACCAAUUUUAUGGGUUCAUUACCAGAUUCCAUUGGUUUCCUUGGGGAUUUGUCGAGGAUAGAUCUGUCAAAUUGCAAUUUCACGGGGCCGAUUCCAUCAACAAUGGCAAAUCUCACGGAACUGGUUUAUGUGGGUGUCUCAAAUAACAUGUUCAAUGGUUCGAUCCCGUCAUUUGGGAUGUCCAAGAACCUCAAUCACUUGGAUCUCUCUCGUAAUGAUCUAACAGGCAACAUUCCUUCCACUCACUUUGAAGGCUUUGUAUAUCUUUCCUUUAUUAACUUGGGAUAUAAUUCCUUCACUGGAAAAAUUCCACCAUCUCUGUUUGCUCUUCCAUCCUUGUGGAAACUCCAACUUGCCAACAAUAAUUUCAUAGGCCAAGUCGAAUUCCCCAGUGCAUCCUCCCCUUUCUUAGAUACACUUGAUUUGAGUGGCAACCAACUUAAUGGUUCAAUUCCAAUGUCCAUUUUUGAACUGCAAAGGCUCAAUGUACUCUCACUUUCUUCCAACAGAUUUAAUGGCAGUUUGCCACUUCAAAUGAUAAAUAGGCUCCGAAACCUUACAACACUUGAUCUUUCUUACAACAACUUAUCAAUUGAUGCAAGCAGCGGUAAUUCAACCGUGUCCACCUUCCCUCAGCUUAGUGUACUGAGAUUAGCUUCUUGCAACUUACAAAAGUUUCCAGAGCUAAGAAACAUGUCCAAUAUGAUCGAUCUAGACCUUUCAAACAACCAAAUUGCUGGAGAAAUACCUAAAUGGAUAUGGGAAGUUGGUGACGGAAGUCUUCAAUAUCUGAACCUUUCCUGCAAUCACCUAGUGGAUCUCCCCAUGAAUGCGACUAUGCCCAAUCUGUCUGUGCUUGACUUGCAUUCUAACCAACUUCAAGGUGAGUUUCCAAAACCACCAGAAACAGCUAUAUAUGUGGACUACUCAAGCAAUAAGUUCAGCAAUUCCAUCCCACAAGAUAUUGGGAACUCUCUUAUUUUUGCUGUUUUCUUUUCUAUUUCACAUAACAGCAUUUCCGGAGUUAUCCCUCAGUCCAUAUGCAAUGCAAGUUACCUCCAAGUUCUUGAUUUGUCUAACAAUGUUUUGAGAGGCAGCAUACCAGACUGUCUAUUCUACAAAAUGGAGAAUCUCGAGGUUCUGCAGCUAGGGAGAAACAAACUGGGUGGCAUCAUUCCAGAUAAAUUUCCAAUUAAUUGUGUUCUUAAAAGUUUAGACCUUAGAAAAAUUUUUUUAGAAGGACAGGUUCCAAGAUCCCUGGUCAAUUGUACAUCGUUGGAACUUCUCAAUGUUGGCAGCAAUAAAGUUGAAGAUACUUUCCCCUGCAUGUUAAUGAACUUAUCUAGUUUGCGGGUACUAGUGUUGCGAUCCAACAGGUUCUACGGAAACCUCAGCUGUUCAUUGGCCGAUGAUAGCUGGCAAAACCUUCAAAUCAUUGACCUAGCUUCCAACAACUUCAGUGGCGCUCUAUCCCCUAAAUGCUUCUCUAAUUGGAGAGGAAUGAUAAGCCAUGUAGAAAAUGGGCAAUCAGCACAGGACCGUCUGCAUUUUACUAUCUUGAAGCUUAGUAACUUGUAUUAUCAGGAAACUUUGACAGUAACAAUCAAAGGACUAGAGCUGGAGUUUAGGAAAAUUCUAUUGGUCUUCGCAUCCAUUGAUUUUUCAGGCAAUAGUUUUGAAGGAAGCAUCCCAGAGACAAUAGGAGAACUCAGAGCACUUUAUAGUCUCAACUUAUCACAUAAUGCUCUCACUGGCACAAUCCCAAAAUCAAUUGGGAACUUGACGCAGCUUGAAUCACUAGACCUCUCAAUGAACGCGCUAAGUGGAAUGAUACCAGUAGAGAUUGCAAGUCUGACAUUCCUCUCAUCCUUGAACCUAUCCUUUAAUCAACUCCUUGGAAGUAUCCCCUGGGGGCGCCAGUUUCAAACGUUUACAGAAUCUUCUUAUAAGGGAAACAAAGGGCUGUGCGGCCCCCCUUUGAACUUCAGCUGCAAGGGCAAUAACGACGCUCCGGUGCCUUCCUCUGUAGGUGCAAAUGCAGUGAUUGAGACUGGAUUUGAUUGGCAGUUCGCAUUCGCCAGUCUUGGUUUUAGUUUAGGAGCAGGAGUUACUGUUGCGAUACUAAUUGUCAGCGAGAAAGGGAGGGACUGGUCCGAUAAGCAUUUAGAAAGAAUUUUCCUGCUGAUUUUUCCAAGAAACAGGUAUGGUGCAGGAAAGGUUAAUGCUGUACGUAAUGCCCAAAUCCCAAUUACCCAAAAGUUUUCUAGCCAAUUGAGCAUUAUCUAUAAGUGAGGGGUUAUUUUAUAAGUAUGAUAUAUUUGAGGGCUAAAGUGCGAAUCCCCUUAAUGUAUAUCUUUUUCACCGCCUGGCGCUCUUAUGUGCAUCGGUUUUGUUGUCUUACUUUGUAGAAGAAACAGAAGGAAGAAGGGGCGGCUCCAGAGGAGGAGGAGGAGGAGGAACUAGGGAUAAAAAAGCAAGCAGGAUUUCACUUGAUUUGAGGUAAUCAAUUAAUAGAUUUGAAUCUUACGAGUUUGAUAACUACUAAUUGAAAAAUUGAUGUUGGACAGCUAUAAACCAGUUUUAUUAGUGUGAUUUCUUGCAUAUGUUGCUAUUAAAUUGUAGUCAAGCCUAUGACAUGGAUACACAGACGAAAGUGAAAAGAUUUUAAAUGUUAAUAGCCAAAAAAAACCCAUGAGUUCUAACCAAUUUCGUGACCAGCAGUCACCUCUGCACAACCUUAGAAAAUUGAUAGUAACUUGACGGUGAAAGAGCGCCAGGCAGUGAAAAAGAUUAUUAUCACUUUGAGUCUAGUUUGUAGCCGCAUAAGUUUUACAGUUUUUUGACAUGUAUAGCUUAGUUAUGUCCGUUCAAUUUAGUACUGCCGCUGCUGAAUUUCUCAAGCAAGCAGCCCUACUUUUAGGCAUUUGGAGCAAAUAGUUAAUUCUCUAAGUUUUACUGUUUUAGGGGAAGAUUAAAGAAGGAUUUGGGUGACUUUAUAAAAGAAUUUCGGUUUAUCCUAACUAAUGGAUAAGUGGCUCUCUUAUAUCCUUGUUGAUUUUGAAAUGUUACUUAUAAAAGAUUUUAUUUGCUAAUUGUUAUGAAAAAUGUAUUUUAUUACACUAAAUUGGACUCAGCAUAUAUACUUGUUUGAUAACUUAUGUGCCUAUGAAUGAUUAUCCUAUGUGCUUAAAGGUGAUCAUUAUGUGUUGUUUGGACAUGUUGGACUUGUUAAAACAAGUAAAGGGUGGGAAAAAACUCUAGAUUUGCUACAUUUGAAAAUCGGUACGACGCUUUUACGGGAUAUAAUAGUGGAUAAAUGACCUUGUCAUGAGAAAGAAUAGUGAUAGUACUGCUGAUUUAGAGUUAGGUAUUUAACCAGUAUAUAGCCCUGCCAUGGGAAAAAAUUAUGAAAUUUAAUGGCCCUAUCAUAGAAUAUAAUAGUGACCGUAGCAUGUUCUUUAACUGAAAACAAAGUGAAAAGUGAAAAGUUCCACAAAUUAUAAUUAAAAAUACUAAAAUAUGAAUUCAUGAAUAGUUAUAAUAUGCAUGUAAUAUACUAAUUGUCAUUGAAUUUUGUGAAAUGAUUUUAAUAAAUGUUACACGUAAUAUUAAUAUACUCGAUCCAAUAGAGGUAUGGUUAGACUAUUUAUUGAGCAAGUUGAUGCUCACUCCACUUAAUUUCACUACCUGCAGGCGACGAUGCUCACCCCACUUAAUUUCACUACCUGCAAGUGACGAUCAAGUCUAGGCAAACUUGAAGGAUGUUUUUGUGAUAGGUUGUGCUCUUAGAGUUAAAUUGCUAAAUUGUAACUUUUAUAGCUUUUGUAUUAUAGUAACAUAUAUAUAUGUUGUGAGUUUAGUGUAAAGUAUUGUAAGAGUGAUUUUCUAGGUGUGAAAUUUUUGCAAGCAUAUACUGUGAUUUAUGUAAUCAUUUGGUUUGUAUUAAUAAGUUUAAUAGACGGCUUUAUAUCCCCUCACAAAAGUAUUGUUGGUGUCGCGCUCCAAAUUAUAAGUUAAAUAAUUUUAAAAUUUUGGAGUGUAACAAAGGCAGUGGAGAAUUCGGAGGACGAGUUCCCGGGCGACAUAGAAGAUUCUGAUGGAGAUGAAUUCGAGAUAGAGCACGAGGCAUUUGGAGGUAAGUAUUGUGUAUUCUGCGGCAAACUUGACUUUCACCGCCGUGCACAAUCCAAAUGCACCUCUCAUGCUUCACCGCCGAUAUAUUUUACUUCUCCAACAUCUUCUUCCUCUUUGUUGGUUCUGUAUCAUCAACAUUUUUGACAUUUUUACUCUUUUUUCAAUGCUAUUGUACAUAAAACACAAAGCGCAUUUUAACCCUUGAACGGGGAUAAUGAUUUAUGUAAUCAAAAUAAAAACUCUGAACAUUAAUUAAAUCCAGCAAAAUAUCAUGCAUUGGUUUAUGUUCUCUCUCUCUCUCUCUUUUCUUCUUUGAGUAAUUUCGUCGAACAUUUUGGGCUUGCGGACAUGUUUCAUCCCGCAUGGUGGUAAUGGCAAAGGUUACUGAGGAAUUAAUUUCUUUAAAGGUUGAAAAAUAUGAGAUAACAAAGGAAACAAAGAACCGCUAAAAGUACUUUCUCUACUUAAUCGAGGUACCGAGAGAGAUUGAGACGGUGCAAUUUGUGAAACGGAUUAAUCUUUUAGCAGUCGGGCAUAGAGAGAGUGCGUAGAUCAGCAAAUAAAUUUCUGUGCUUUCUUCUUCUGGUAUCGUCGUGCUUAGAAAAGUGGGAAGCGUCAAGUGGUAAUACUUCCGGUUCAACAUUUCUGAUUAGCCGAGGAAGACGUGGUUUAACAAUAGUUGAAGUCGUGGCUGGAGGAAUAUUAGAGAACUCUAAAAACCAAUACCCAUAUAUAAAUGAGUAAAUAUUAUAUACACUGACGAUGUAUAUAUAUACUAUCGCGGUUGGAUAUAUGACGCAUAUGCAAAAUUUGAACUUCAAAUUAUGUGUCAUGUAUCUAAUGGUGAAAGUGCAUACAGUGUAUAGAAGAUUAAUCCUAAAUUAAAUAAAUAUAUAUAUAGUAAAUCUUAUAUACACUGAUAGUGUAUACAUUUUUUUUUUUAGUGUAAGCAGGAGGACUCGAACCCGAGAUCUCUUACUUACACUCCCUCCCCACGUACCACCCAACCCAACCCUCCCCCCUGAUAGUGUAUACACUUGAUUCAUAACAUGUGUGCAAAAGUUAAAUUUUAAAUUCAAAUUUUACAUAGUUGUUAUUCAUCCAACGCUGACAGUGUAUACACUAUCAGUGUAGGAAAGAUUAACUCAUAUAUAUAUGUGUGUGUGUGUGUGUGUGUGUGAGAUACAGAGGAGGGGCAGGAACACCUUGCAACCGUUCCUGAAAGUUCAUGACCAAGAUUUGGUCAAAAAAAAUAUAAAGUUCAGAUUGCAACUUGUACAUCGUUUUUCACACCAUGUAUGGGGCAGCCUACAAAAUUUUAUUCUAUAAUUACAUGUUGUUAAAAGUAAAUUACACUGUAUAUAUAUAAAAUUACAUUUAUGCAUUUUGCACAAAAUCGACCCGAACUAUUUUUCUAACAGCUAUUCAGCCCGGUGUCCUACAUACAUACAUACUUUGGUAGUUUGGUAGCUUCUCGGAAUAAAAUCAUUUUUCCAAGUCAAUACUCAAUGCUACUAAUGCAGUCAUAAUUUAGACUUGAACCUAGUGCAAGUUGGGCUUUUCUUUCUAAAUGGGCAGAUAAACAGAGGUAAGCCUUGAGGACUUUAGAGCCUGUCCCUGGGCCACGAUCCUUGGGCUAAAACUCGCUUUCAACACAUCCUCCUAGUAAUAAGUUCCCAAGACGUUUGAGUAUUUUCCAAGACGUUGGCUUUGAAACUAGUAUUGGCAAAUUGCAACCUUUAAGUACUUUGAACUGUCCUAGUACUGCUGUCUAGGUGUUCGAUAUUCAAGGAAACUGAGAAGUGCUAUAAUUUUACAGUAUCAGAAUUGGAAGUACUUGAUGAUGGAAGCUUGAGAAAUGAAGUACUCGUUCUUUCCAACCACAAUAAAAAAAAAAAAAAGAGAAGACAUUAGCUUCAUGAAGAAACUAAUUUUCUGUCUCUUUCUUUUCUUCACAAUCCCGAUGGAGAUAAUACAAUUAAGGAGACAAAAUAUUUCAUGAUCUAUAUUGACUAUUGAAUAUGCUGUUCUGUCUAUUCUGUGUCUGUACGAUACUUGUAGGAUAUGGGUUGAUCCUCCUACGUAUGUCUUCAACCAAAGAAAAAGGAUGAGCUAAAGAAAUUAUUUAACAAUUUUACCCUUUCCUGAUCACGAAAGAACUUCCGGACUAGACGGAAUUUCUGGGAAACCAAUAAGUCCAGUUGAAGGACAGACUUUCGGCAAAGAGGACAUAUGGAACGAGUCCUGAGCCAUUUAUCCACGCAUUUGGAGUGAACCAUGGUGGCACCUAAGCAAAACUUUCACCUUGUCUUCGUCCUGAAAAAGACUCGGACAGAUAGAGCACUCGGAUUCUGGGCAAGUCUCAUUAUUCAACCUGGACCAUACGAAAAGCUUGGCAAGCCCCUGAUGGUAGCAGGGUCUAAGUUCUAACCCAGUGAGCUGGGGUGGUCCACCAUCCAGCUGGUUCUGGCUGGUGGAGGAGGAGCUAGCUCUGCGAUGGAUGCAUAGAGAAAGUAAAGAAACAAGAAACUGAACGAGAAGAGGAAGAACAGAAACAGGGCACUAAAAAGAGGACUCUUUUCUUCAAUUUUGUCCUUGAGAAGAUCAAUGAAAUGCAUCGGCUAAAUAUCUUGAGAGCCAUGCAAUAACUUUUGGGAAAAUGUUCAGUUGCAUCAUGUGCAUAUUGUGUUCGUCUAUAUUCUAGAGACAAUGCAUGGGAUAUCAGUUUUUGCAUUUCAGAUAACUACAUAAUACUGCUCCUACCAGUUAGGUUAUAGAGAGGUGGAGUCCGAGCACAUGGGAUUUCUUGAGAGAGGUUGAAAGUUGAGACAAAAAUGUGUUGCUCUUUCUCGUAAUGCAAGUUGGUGGAUCCUUAUCAACUCCGAAAGAUAUAUCCUGAUCUACUCCGAAAGCUUAUAUAUAUCCCAGAUUUCCUUACUGGCAUUUUCUCGGUUUGGCUCAGAAAAAGGAGCAUGAACCCUUAUUAUUUUUAAUAUUCGCUUGACAAUCUAGCUAGUGUAAUGUUGGAUAUGUACAAUCCUCUAGUUGAGAGUGUGUAUGUCCUAAGGUCAUUCAAUUUCUAAGGUCUAAUAUGCACUCAAACUAUUUAUGCUAUAAUAAAUGAUAUCUUUUUUUAAUGACAUCUUUAUCAUAUUAAUUACUUGCAUAUUUAUAUUUAUAUGAUAAAACCUUUAGAGUAAACCUAACCAAUGAAAUCAUAAAAGUUAUGAUGGCGAGAUUCAUUCGAUUAUAUAUAAAGAUUUAUUCUUAAAUAUAUAGUCAAAGUAUUAACAAGAUAGGGCAUUGUAUUGUUAAUACGGUUAGACUGACAUAUACUUAUGUCGCUUCUAUAUAAGAAGUAGUAGGCAUUAUCUAUUAUGAUGUGUGAUAACUAAACUAGUAUAUGGAUGCUUGAUAAGAUGAUCAAAUUCACUACAGUGAUUCGCAUAAAGAUAUCCUUAAAAUGCCAAAGGAUUAGUCUUUAAAUUAUGUUUGUGUAAGUGAUCCUUAGAUUUAAAAUUAUCAUAAUAUCUUGAGUAUAAAUUAUUAUGGUUUGAUUCUAUUUGAUUGCUUCUCGUAACUAAGCAGCUCAAAUUGUUAGCGAUUGGAUAUAAUAUGAAUAAUUUAUAAGAAUUUACCACCUCUUAUGUUAAAGAAGUUAUCUCAUGAUUAGCUACUAAUAUAAUUCAAAAUUUUUAGCACUAAAUGGAGAGGUUUUAAAAAGUGUUUCUGAGUACUUUUUUAUUAGAGUCAUAUUUUGGUAUAAGAAAAUAAUGUUAAUCUAUAUAGAAUAGACAUGUACUCUAAGACUAAUAUGCGAUAAGUAUGGUGAAAAGAUAUUAAUUAUACAGUAAAUAUUCAUUGAGAGGUGAAGUUAUCUACUUGAUUUUUCUCAUUACUUUGAGUGGUCAUGAUACAUUACUUUGAGUGGUCAUGAUACAUUGCUAGAUGUCAAACUUGAUUGAAUAAAUGAUAAAUUAAAAAUGUUUAAUUUAUCUAGUUCUUAUUUAGUAAGAAUUAUAGUUUUAUUUGUCUUACAAAUCAAACUUGAGGGAUUUAUGAUGCAAAUAAAGUUGUCUCCCAAUGUAAGAGCUAUAUUUAAAUAAGGAAACUAAGUCUUAUUGAAAACUAGUUUUAAGUUUUUUUUUAUAAGGAUUUGAACAAUCUCUAUGUCUAUAAAUACUCUCUAAAAUUUUGUUAACAAGACUAAUCAAUACACAAAUUGUCUUGUGUGAGAUUUUCCGAAAAAAAAUCUUGAGAGAAAAAUACCUAAAAUUCAUCCAAAAGAAGAAGGGAUCUCUCUUGGACGGGUUUUUCCCAGUGAAAAAACUGUAGAUUUUUCUCAACCAAAUUGUGUGAUUACUCUAAGAGCACCAAAUUUAAGCUUUUACUAAAAGUGCUCUUAGCAUCAAAAGCUCUACUCCUAAUUUUAUGAAAUGAUAUUUACCAAGUACUUUAAAAGUACUUUUAGCACCUAAAAGUACUCUUUUACUAAAAACACCGCAACCCCAAGCGGACCUUUAGUAUUGGAAUCCUAUACCAAGGAGGCCUUACUCUAGUCACUACUAACAUUGAGGUGAUUAGGAAUUAGAGGUCAUGGAUUCUAGUCUGCCUUCUCUCUUCGUGUUUCUUUAGUCCCAUCCCUAGGAUCUCAUAUUUGACUUGUAGGAUUUAAAAAAAAAAAAAAAAGAUUGGGAUCCCAUAUUUGACUUGUAGGUAUGCAUUUAUGUGAAUAUAUUAUUUUUGCUAUAAAUUUCUAUUUUUUUAAGAAAAAUAAUGUAUGUACAUUUAUGCGAAUAUAUUAUGUUUGCUAUAAAUUUCUAUUUGCUUAAGAAAAAUAAUGUAAGACAUUGCAAUUAAGAUUGACGUCAUGAGACCUACCUAACUGAUUAGAGAUGCAAGAAGGAAUAACAUUAAGGACAUAUGUAGUAGCUCUUUUUUUUUAAUAAAUAUCUAAGUAGUAUACUAAACUCAAUGCUUUAUAAACUAGUCCACCUUUUUUUGUUUUACAUUUUUUUUUCUUAGAGUAAAGAGUAGAGAACAUAAAUAAAUAAAAAAAAAAAAACUUUUUUUGAGAUGGACGGUGGAGAAGAUCCAUGGAAUUUCAUCCGCAAAUAUGGAAGGGGAAGGGACACUCUUUUUUAAUCAUAGAAUUGAGAGAAAAAGGACUGAAAGAGAAAUUCUUAAGUCAUUUUUAUUCAAUGAUGUCCUUUCUCUUCUUGACAUAGUGUUUUGAGUGAAGGAAAAGGAACGAGUAGGUUAAUUAUCAAUGACAAUAACAUGUGAUGGUAGUCUUAGUUAUUUGUUCUUUAUGGAAAUAAAAGACAAAAUAAAAGACCUUUCAAUUUAUCUUUUAUGCAAAAAAUGGUUUCUUGAUUGGACUGAAAAAUUAUUAUUCGUUUCCUUUUAUAUCAAAAAAUGCCUGGCUAUGUCUAAAGUUGGUUGGCCUUUAUAUGUGCACAAAGUAGAAAAUUAAAAGAAAAAGAAAAAUCGAAAGAAUUAAAAAUAAUGCAGAUUUGUCACCUUCGUUUCUUCAACUGACUCAUUUCCUAAAAGGAUGUUUUGCAGACUUUCCUGCAAUAAGGACAAAAAGUCAAGGAAUAACAAUAGGGGAAAUGUACUUUUCAUUCACAUUGUUUGGAGUUUGUUGGACCAAUUUUGGUCCCUAUUGUUUUAGCAAAAACACAUUUAGCCUCUUAAAUUUUAAUCUUUGACCAAUUGGAGACAAUUGACGUUUAAUCAUUCAAUUUAAGCUAAAACUGAAGUUUAAUCACUCAAUUUGGACAGAAUGAAAUGCAUGAGGGGCAAGCAUAAAUCGUUGGGAAAAAGUCAUUAGUGCCUCAAAAUUCAUCGCCUAAAAUUCAUCAAAAUUUGAAAAUAAUGUGGAUAAAUUUACUGAAUAGUGAGUGUAAAGAAUCAUAGGGAAGGCAAAGUGGGUCCAAUCUAAUGAAUUUAAUUUGCUUCCCCUUACGCAUUUUAAUUCCGUCCAACUUGAGUGAUUAAACAUUAAUUUCUGCCCAAAUUGAAUGAUUAUUAACUUAUACCUAAUUAGUCAAAAAUCAAAAGUUAUGGGAUGAAAAUUACAAGGGAACUUACAUCUAAGAAGGGAAAUUACAAGGUACACCUAAGUAGAAAAUUAGGGAUUGUACCAAACCUGUCUAGCUAUAUAAGUGACACUAACUUAUCUUUAUUUGACACAAAAAAAGGAAGAAGAAAAAAGGUUGCACAACAUAAAAAGAAACUACUUCUGGUGCAUAUCUCUAUAGAUAAGGUAUCAAAGAAUCAAGAAUAAAAGAAUUGAUAGACGAAUUUCAAUAUCGAUCACCCUUUUUAUCUAAAAGAUGAUCAACAACUAGAAGACAUUUUUAUCAGAAUUUUUCAUAUCCUCACAUGCAAAAUAUGCAGGGCACUUGCUACUUUGAUACGGUUGUUAACCAUUUGCACAAGUGCAUUAAUGUUUACAAUAAAGGCAUAGUAACACAGCUUUUUCUACAAUCUUGUAGUACAAUUUAGUGUUUGGUGAUGGUAUUUUAAACCUCUCUUUGACGGCUCUUUGUUGCUUAUUUAAUUUUUUUCGUGAUUCUAAUUUUCCACUUCUUGCUUUUUCCGCCAUCUCGUCUCGUCCAACCAAUGGUAUAUAUUAUAUACGGUUUAUCUAACGGGUGCCGUAUACUCAUUAAAAUAUAUUUCAGGUGUUAUAUUUUUAAAAAUUUAAUAUUAAUUAUGAAAAGUAAAUAAAUAUAAGGGAAGGUAAGUAAAAUUAAAUAAAGAAAGCAUAUAAAUACAAGAGAAGAUAAUAAUUGUUAAUAUCUGUAUAUAUAUGGUAGAUUAGGUGAAUACUUUAUGUGUUAACGAGUGUUCUAAGAGCACCAGUUGAAAAAACUCAUACAUGUCCGGAACCAUUCCUUAUACUUUUCUGUUGUGCAGAUCAUAUAUGGAUAAACCUGCGAAUCUUAUUGGGAUAACAAGUACAGUUUCCGAAUUGGAUCAACAAUUGAUCACUACGGCUAAGAAUAUUCUGCAUUUUAAGCACAAAAGGAACCCUUUUUUCUUUCCUUUUCUGAAAGGAGCACCAAAGGAACAUUAUUAUUCCUCUCGUUCAGAAGGAACUAUGCAAAGUAAACCGGGAAAAAAAAAACCCCCCCACAAGAGGAUAUGACCAGGGAUGAAAAGAAAAUAAAUUUGACACUAUUUAUGCAAAAUAAAAUGUGACAUAUUAAGGCCCUCAAUUGAUCAUUAGAGUAAUUAUUAAUCAUGCAUACCACUAGCAAGUAGGCAACAUAUUCAUCAUCUUUGAUCAUUACCAUGCAACAUUUUCUUCAAUCAUGUGAUAUAUGACAUUUGAACUCAGGCAUCAGCCUUCAAGUGAGGGCGCUUGACUUGACCAUUGGGGUAUUAGGAGCUUUUCUCGAAGCAGGUAUGCCAAGGAAUAUUCAUCAAACUUUCGUUGCCAAUAAUGGAGGUCAGUAAACAAGUAUUAUAAUACUUGUCUUUGCUUGUAUACUCAUUAGGAUUUUGACAUAUGGGAUUUUUCUUUGCAUUCCCCUCAAAGAAGAUUGACAUAUUCGCAUUAUUGUCAUUUGCAGAAUGGUUGAGAUCAUUUAAGAAUAGAAAAUUCGAGGAAUAACAACUCCUGAAAGCUCUUCCUUUAAACAAUCAUGGUUUUAUGGGCCCGGAAAUAGAUGUUUCUACAAAAGUAUGAAUUAAUGUUUGAAUUAAAUAACGUUGAACAAGUAUGCAUACUUCAACAGCAACAACCAGCUGAUUCAAUCAUCCAAAUUAAUGUGUAUAUAUGACUACAAAUCAAGAUGUACAAUUUUUCUUUUUCUUUUUUUUUUUUUGGGGAGGAUACACUUGAUUCUUUUCUCUACUAUUGAUCUACAACUUAAUUAAUCCUGCAAAUGUGAGCUGCGAAAAUGUUUACGUAAGUUUAAUUUCUUGAAUUUGGUUCUUUCUUUUACCAAAGAAGGAAAAUUCGAGCUUAAUGUCGAUUCAAGAUUGAGGAACUUGGCUCUGAUACAAUGGAUAAGGGAGAUUUAGUACUACUCCAAUGACCAGAUAUCUAGAAUUCAAGUGCAGAAAUGCCAUUUGGGGUUUGUAUAUAUGGCAACUUAAAGCCUGUACCAAGAGUUAGAACUGCCAAAGAAAGAGCACCUAGCAGGAGGCAAGAAUACAAGAAUUUAACCUAAUCAUCAUUUUCUUAAAAGGUGAUGAGAACUUCGUACGGUUUCUUUUAGGUUUGAUGAUAUUCUCUUUCUUAGACCACCAUAAUACAAGACAAGUUAAAGUACAGUAAAUCAGGCACUUAUUAUUUCCUGCUUAACUGAUGUCCUGCUAUGUUGAGACAAAAUGCUUGAAAUGUUAGCUGAUCCAAGAACAGAUGAGCAAUAAAUUUGACAAGUUGGUGGUAGCAUCAUAUUGUUGCAAAAUGCUUGUUUCAUAAACUUUAAACUUUCACGUCCUAGAAGCACUAUUGACAUUUUCCUACUGUCAUAAAAACGAAGCAUUCCAUCAAGCUCAAUUAUGUUUCACUCUUGCAGUACUUUUUUUUUUUUUUUUUCAGUAAUGAUACAUUUGUAUAAUCUACUUUAUCCUAAUCUAGGAAAAGUAGGAGCCUAAAGAGACUGUGAUAGGGAGCUAGUGAGUAUACAGACCCAACUAGACUAAAGAAGUAUUAUGAUACAACUCUUAAAUUUUUUUCGCUACAGAUGAAAUUUAAACCCUCAUCUACCGUCAAGGAGAACUUAAACCCCUCCUGAUGGCCACGAGCCAUUGCCAUUGACCCACAGGUUCACUCUUGAAGUACUUGCUUGUUGGCAGUUGGCAUGCGCCAAACAUGGAUCCUUUGAUUUGAAGAUGGUAUAGUCCUUCUUGUCUAGUCAGUAGUCAAUCAAAGUGUGGUCCUCUCUCAAUAAACAAACCAAUCAUAGCUUAUCUUACCAUCCAAGCAUGACCCUCCUUGUUUAUAUGUAAUAAUUAAAACAAGCAAAUUAGAGUAAAUUUUGAGCUAGAAAAUUGGCCUAGGUGACAUCAAUUUUCAUGAGUUGAAAGAAAUUAAGAAUUUUUUUUGGGUGAGCUAUAGAAGUGGCUCCUACAAAAGCUUUAUUCAAAAAUUUAUUAUAUAAUAAGGACUCUUCGUGAGAGUUUCAACUUCAGUCUCGCCUGAAAUCUUUGUCAAUUUCUCGUGUAAUCUUAACGUGUAACUACAAAUAUGAAAACUAAUUAGCUUGUCAUCUUCACAAAUCAUCCCAAAAUAAAAAAGAAAAAACCCAUAACCCAUAUCUUUGGCUAAAAGGACACUGCUGGAAAUAAAAGAAUUUCGAAGUUUUAAAGAGAAAGCUGAAAAUUAGCUAUACCAUGAGCUCAAUUUGAAAAAUCAGUUUUCAAGUUUUAUAAGCAAAAAUAAAAUAACUUUAAUGAAAAUUCUCUAUGUAUAGCUCUAAUUGAAAUCUAGUGAACUAACUUUUUUCCUUGAUUAAAAUAGUUUAGCCAAAAUUUUCUGAAUUACAAUUAAUGUCAGCAAAUUUUAAUCUUAGAAGUACUAAUGUCGGCAAAUUUUUUGUUGUUUACUUCACAGAAAAUGGUAAUAUAUCAUCAUUUUCUGAUUGGUUCGCAGAAACUCACAAACGGCUGUGUCAGAUAUAAAAUCAGAGCGGGCAAGCGAGGGAACUUCUCACCUCGUCUCGACCACCUAUCGCGUGAUGCCACGCUAAAAGUCUAGAACCCAGAAGUCACUUUCACGGGCCCCGCAUCGGAAUUUUGAAUUGUAAUGGUUCGAGUCAUGGGCGGAGCCCACAAGUUCAUGCCUCCUCCGUUAAACCCAAUGAUUCUCCCGUCUACUCCACGCACGAGUCUCACGCGUGAUGGGCCAUGACAGUUCAUGUUAGCUUAUGUUUUCACUAUUGUCCAAGCGAGGGUAUAUGAUUACACUAAGUGGAGGUAACAAAAUCCUUCUCUCAGUAAAGUUACAAGAAGUUGCCGCUCACUGUUCUGCUGCCUUUAUGCUCUCAUCACCUCCACUUUGUGUGUUUUUGCUGUUUGAGUGUGUUUGGGUGUGAGAGAGGGAGAGAGAGAGAGAAGAGGAAAGGAAAAGUGUAAAAAUGAGGACAGCCCAUUCUUUGUAAUGAGGUGUUAAACAGAGAAAAAUAUGGAAAUGGGCUGUUGCACAAGCUAAAAGAGGCCUUAAAAGCAAAAGGGUUUUUUCGCUUCUUGAUGCCAUUGUUGUUGCUGAGUGAAAAAAGAGUCCAUUUUUAUCAGAUUUGUUUUUUAGCGCAUUUUAUCAGAUACUUGUGAGUGGGAAAGAGAGAAUCUUUGGUGUUUCUGAGCCAUACUUCUUGCUGCUUUUGACUCUGCCUCGAAAGGUUGGUUUAUCUUUUUUGCUCAUACUGCACUUAGCUUUACAAUCACUAUUCUAGUUGAAACAAUUUGUAGUUGGCUCAUGGCUGUGGUUCUGUUUCUUUAGUGUGUACUAGUAGGAUUCGUUUCAUGUUCUUUCUUGAUCAUGAUGCCUACUUUUGAGUACCACUUGCAAUUAGUGCUUUUCCGCUAGAAAAAUUAACAGGUUUCAACUUUCUUGUUUGAUGCAUGUCCCCUUUUGCUUGCAAAGUUGACUCUUUUCACUCUUGGGAGCUUUGGAGGAUUGAUGGAGUUGAGGAUUCUUUUUGUGUUUUUGGAUAGUGGGAUCAAUAUUCUUUGCAGAUUGACAUCUCUGGCAUUUAUGGAUUGUCUGGUUCAGAUUUUUUUGGCUUCUUAGGUAGUUUUUAUUUGCGUUUGAUUUUGUAUAAUUUUUGGUUGGUUUUCCAUAUUACCAAAUAUUUCCAAGAAAUCCCUUUUGUUUACUUGACUGAACUUGUGCUGUAUUCGUCCUGAUAUACCUUGUCAGUUUCCUAGAUUUCCUGAAAUUUGAAAUUUGGUAAUACCAUCGUUUCUUGAGAUUUUUAUUUGUUUACUAGUAAUGACUUAUUAACUUUCUAUUCUAGAUGCUUUACAAAUGUCUGUUUUCUUGCUUGAAUUUCUUUUUGGGGGUGAAUUGUCUUCCUAGUUACUGUGCAAAUGUUUUUUGCUGAGCUGCUUGAAAAUUUUCUUUUGUAAUGUAUUUUUUUCCCUCUUUUGAAGAGUUAUACCGACCUUGUUAUUGUAAUUUAUGGUCUCUAACUUAAUCAUUGUUCUGCUUUGGAGCAACCCAUUCAUAUACUUCUUUUCUUUGCUUCAUGGGGGAGGGUCUACCAGCUGGUAGCUGAAACUUUAGCUAUUUUUGAAAUAAAAGAAGUUUUUGUCUUUGCAUCCUAAAAUUUGUGAUUUAUUGAGUGAAAUUCAUCUCAUUUUUAGCAUUUACAAAGUUUCUGUUGUCACUAGCGUUUAUAAUGAUCGUUAUCCCUUGCUUGAAUAUUUUCCCCUAACUUUGUAUUAGCAUUGAAACCUGAUAAAGUAGAGAUCACAUAAUUUAAAAUCUAUUUCUGACAGAUUUGAGGCGUAAAUUUGUUUGCAAAAAUGGUUUCGAGAUCUUAUUCCAACCUAUUGGAUCUUACUUCUGGUGAUCCACCGACAUUCAGCCGAGGAGGAAAAAAACUCUCUCGAGUUGCUACCUUACCAGGAAAGUUAUCUGAGCUCGAUGAGGAAAGUAGAAGUAAUGUCAGCUCUGAUGCUCAGUCUUCUGUUUCCGAAGAACGAAUGAUCAUCGUUGGAAACCAACUUCCCAUCAGGGCACAUCGAAGAUCAGAAGGUAAGGGAGGAUGGAACUUCAGUUGGGAUGAGGAUUCCCUUCUUUUGCAACUCAAAGAUGGACUCAGAGAAGAUGUUGAAGUAAUCUACGUUGGUAGUCUCAAAGAAGAGAUUGAUCCAAGUGAACAAGAUGAUGUAGCUCAAACUCUACUGGAGACUUUUAAAUGUGUGCCUGCUUUCAUUCCUCCAGAGCUCUUCAGUAAAUUCUACCAUGGCUUCUGCAAGCAGCACUUGUGGCCUUUAUUUCACUACAUGCUUCCCCUAUCCCCUGAUCUUGGUGGCAGGUUUGAUCGCUCCUUGUGGCAAGCUUAUGUUUCUGUAAACAAAAUAUUCGCUGACAAGGUAAUGGAAGUGAUUAGUCCUGAUGAUGAUUUUGUUUGGGUACAUGACUACCAUUUGAUGGUUUUACCAACAUUUUUGAGGAAAAGAUUUAACAGGGUGAAGCUUGGGUUUUUUCUUCAUAGCCCCUUCCCAUCAUCAGAAAUAUAUCGAACUUUACCUGUCAGGGAUGAACUUCUUCGGGCUCUUUUAAACUCUGAUCUUAUUGGCUUCCAUACAUUUGAUUAUGCAAGGCAUUUCCUUUCUUGCUGCAGUAGAAUGCUUGGAAUUUCAUACCAAUCUAAACGAGGUUAUAUAGGGCUUGAGUAUUAUGGCCGCACUGUUAGUAUCAAGAUUCUACCAGUUGGAAUUCACAUGGGCCAACUUCAAUCGGUCCUGGAGCUUCCUGAGACAGAAGCUAAGGUUGCUGAGCUGCGCGAUCAAUUCACUGGUCAGACUGUUUUGCUUGGGGUUGAUGACAUGGACAUAUUUAAAGGAAUAAGCCUAAAACUCCUGGCUUUUGAGCAGUUGCUCACUCAACAUCCUGACAAAAGAGGUAAGGUUGUUUUGGUUCAAAUUGCAAACCCUGCUAGGGGCAGAGGAAAAGACGUACAAGAAGUCCAGUCAGAAACUUAUGCUACAGUGAAAAGAAUCAAUCAGAUAUUUGGACGAUCAGGAUAUCAGCCUGUGGUUUUAAUUGACACUCCGCUUCAGUUCUAUGAGCGCAUCUCUUAUUAUGUAAUAGCAGAAUGUUGCCUGGUUACUGCAGUUAGGGAUGGAAUGAAUCUUAUACCUUAUGAAUAUAUUAUAUCUCGACAAGGAAAUGAAAAGCUAGAUGAAACCUUGGGCAUGAACCCAUCAACACCAAAGAAAAGCAUGCUAGUGGUUUCUGAGUUUAUUGGGUGCUCUCCGUCUCUGAGUGGUGCAAUAAGGGUUAACCCAUGGAACACUGAUUCUGUGGCUGAAGCUAUGGAUUCUGCAUUAGUAGUCUCUCAAGCAGAGAAGCAAAUGCGGCAUGAGAAGCACUACAGAUAUGUGAGUACCCAUGAUGUUGCAUAUUGGGCUCGUAGCUUCCUGCAAGAUCUUGAGAGAGCUUGUAGAGAUCAUGUAAGGCGGAGAUGCUGGGGAAUUGGUUUUGGUUUAGGUUUCCGUGUGAUUGCUUUGGAUCCAAGUUUCAGAAAACUGUCAGUUGAACACAUUGUAUCUGCUUAUAAGAGGACCAAGAACCGUGCAAUUCUUUUGGACUAUGAUGGUACUAUGACCGUGCAGAGUUCAAUGAGUACAAGUCCCAAAGCAGAAAAUAUUGAAAUCCUAAAUAACUUGUGCAGAGAUCCCAAGAAUGUGGUUUUUAUUGUUAGUGGGAAGGAGCGAAAGACUCUAACGCAAUGGUUUUCCUCUUGUGAAAGACUGGGAAUUGCUGCAGAACAUGGUUACUUUGUAAGGUAUGUACACUUGAGAAUCACUGAAUUCAUAAAGUUUGUUACCUUUCCAAGUUUUUAUUUUAUGAAUUUCAUUCACCCUUCUGUUGGCUGCACAAGAUAACAUCAAGUAGCCACAUUGCUCAGACUUUUAACUCUACUGCUAAUUAUGUUGCUUAUGCUACAAGGAAGCAUGGCUGGUAUUGUUGUCUUGAGCAAUGCAUAUAUCAGUUUGCAAAGCUAUAUGUGCUCAAAUUAAUUGAGAAAAUCUCAUGAAAAGAAAAGAAAUAUAGAGGAAUGAUGUAUGAACUAGAAAUGAAUCUAAAUUCCAUCACAAGCAUAAUAAGUUUGGCGGAAUAAGUUUAAUAUGAACAAUUCCUAGUCUGUGCUGUAAUCUAAGACAAAUAGGCAACUAACCACUUAUAAUUAUGGAUCCUAAAAAUUGGCAAUGUUAAAUGUGUCUUUCUCAAGUGACCAUAUUAGUUCAUUAAAAGAUGUGAAUUCUGGAACUUGCCAAGUUGGUUGGUUCACUGCAUUUGUUUGUGGCAUCUUGGACCAGACUAAGAAAUGUUAAGCAUCGCAAGUGCCUAGGUCUUCAUGUUUUGCUAAGGCUGCAACAUGCUGGUAAGCUGUCAGCCCUCUAAUUUUGAAGUGCAACCAUACCCAAUUCAACUGUCAAAUUUUGUGGGAGGAAAUAGAACGUAUAUAUUUUCUUUUUUUGGGAGUGGAAGUAGUCCAUGGCUAUGGUGGAUUUUGCCCUAUUCACGUGUUUUGGUUGGUUUAGUUCCUUUGUCAUCUGUGAAAAGCUGAAGAUGAAAGCUCACUGUGAGACGUUCAUGUAUUGCAAAACUUCUUUGUAGUGAUGGGUUUGGUUUAGCAUUGCAGCCAUGAACACAGCAUCAGUGUAGUUGAUUGUAGGUUCUCAUUGUCGUCUAGAAGUUCUGAAUGCUGUCUAAGUGUAGACAGUCAUAUACUUUUUCCUUAGAAUUCUUUAAUGAAUUUUUUAGAACAUGCAAGUUGAAUAAGGAAAUGGUCCGAGAUUUGUCAAAAUACUUUAGAUUUAUGAGAAUGGGCUAAAAAGCAGUUGACAACAUUCUCCGUUGAGAAUGUCUUGCACAAGCAUAGGCACCUGAAUGGUGGUGAACAUUAUGCCUACCCAUGGUAAAAGCUUCUAGGUUUGGGCAUGAUAUUCAAAAAUAGCAGCAGAAAUGAUGAAAUAGAAUUUGAGCUGAGUACAGCAAAGGGCCUAUCUCAUUUGUACCCUUAAGCAGUCAUUUUUGUUUAAUAAGAAGUUUGCAUGUCGCAAAUGUGAUCUCUGUUUUUUCCUCAUAAUUAUGGCUUUAUUUGACUUGCCAUUGUAUAACGACACAAAAGGACAAGCUUCCCUUGCUUUCUUGUUAUACACGUCUCCGUAUUUUCAUUCACAGCUCAUCUGGUUCAGCCAAGUCUUACUAUUGGCCAUUUAUAUUUUUUUCAUCUCCUUUACAUUUUCACAUUGAGCUUGCUUUUCCAGAUUAAAUCAGACGGUUUGGGCUUGAGCAUCCAUAUUGGCCAAUAAUAGCUUCUUUAUUGUCAUUCUUUUUCAGGCCGGAACAAAAUGCAGAAUGGGAAACUUGUAUUGCCGUGCCAGACUUUUACUGGAAGCAGAUUGCUGAACCUGUAAUGCAACUUUACACUGAAACAACAGAUGGUUCUUUCAUAGACACCAAGGAAAGUGCUCUGGUUUGGAAUUACCAGUAUGCAGAUCCUGAUUUUGGCUCAUGUCAAGCUAAGGAGCUUCAAGAUCACUUGGAAAGUGUUCUUAAUAAUGAACCAGUUUCUGUCAAGAGUGGCCAGCACAUUGUAGAAGUUAAACCUCAGGUUAGUCAUAGAUUCUCUCCUGUCUUGCUUUGAACAGUUUCCAUAAACUUAAAGAUCUAGCAGCUGCAAGUCUGGUCGAUGUUCAUGAUUACAACUUCACCAAUCCAGAAAUAUAAUUUGGUUCUACUUUUCGACUGUAGUUCUCCAAAAAUUCAACUAAAUGCAUUUCAUCUCCUCUAGACCUGCAGAUUGCCUAAAAAAAAUGUUGUCAUAGAAGAUGAUUCAUCUUACCCUCCAUUCUUUUUCUCGUAUGUCUCAUUACACCAAUUAACUUGAGCACUUCUUAAACAUUUACAUCGGGGUUGUUUGGAUUGAGAUUUUUUUUAUCAAAAAGUGCAUCAUAAGCAAUUUUUUCAAUUAUAUUUUUAUUUUUUCAACUAUCUUUUUAUCUCACAUGCAUCACAUCUCAAAAAGUACUAUAGUAUAUUUUUCAAAAAGUUUCCAAAAAUUCUUCAAUCCAAACAGGUGCAGAAGUAUAACAAGUACAUUCUCUUACCAUCCAGAGCAUCAAUGACUUCAGUUUUUCCUGUAAAGUAUCUCUUUCCUUUCUUGUAGAGAGUAUUUUACUAAUCUUCUACUCCCUGUUCUCUCAACAUUAGGGAGUGAACAAAGGCCUUAUAGCAGAACGCCUCCUCGCCACAAUGCGGCAAAAACAAUUGCUUCCAGAUUUUGUUCUUUGUAUAGGGGAUGAUCGAUCAGAUGAGGACAUGUUUGAAGUGAUAAUGAGGGCAGUUGCUAAUGCCUCUCUCUCCCCGGUUGCUGAAGUUUUCGCGUGUACUGUUGGCCAGAAACCAAGUAAAGCUAAAUACUACUUAGAGGACACCCCUGAGAUACUGAGAAUGUUGCAGGGUCUUGGUGCUGCUGCUUCUGAGCAAUCAACCAAAGCCAUAUCUCGAUCUUCUCAACGAGUAAUCAUUGAGAAGGAAUGAGCAAAGGAGAGGGUUCUGUUUAGUUAUCCCCCUUAGAAAUUUAAAUUGCCUGUGCAGAUAGUUUAUUGACCUAUUGUGUAGUUUAUUUAGCUUCCUCUAAAUAAUUGAGGGUUGAGUUUCAAAAUCUGGAAUUUCAUCUGCAGUCUGUUCUUGAAGUUUUAUGGAUUUAGUAUGUUGUUCAUUUGAGAAAUAUUUGGUUCCAUUAAUGUAAGUAAAGUAGUAAACUUUGUUGCUACUCUCUUCUUGUUUCUUUUUGAUGUUCAUCAAAAUUCACUCCUCUCAAGUGCAAGGCAUGCUAAAAAAAUAAUCAGAGAUCCUGAACACAUUAAUUCGUUCCCUUGUAAAGACCUCUAAAACAUUACAGUAGCUUUUUCCAAUUGAGUUGAAAUGUCUUUUCUUAGAAGGGAAAAUGAAAAGGCAAAAAACUUUCUUGUCCUUGUCGUGCAAAUACUUACUUUUACCUUUUAGGUUCCCAUGUGUAAAUGUCGCUUUUUCUACUUAAUGGUAUCUGAUUAGUAUCAUUCAGAUUUCUUUACUAAUUCUGCCCAUUAACCUUCUUAUGAAAUUAUUCUAAGGAAGAUGAUUAUGAAGGGAAAAAAAUAACAAGAAAAAUUACAAUUAGUUUAUAUAAUUUCUCCCACUUUUUUUUUCUCCCAAACUUUCGCCGCUCAUGCUCUGCUGACACCGACACGGACAUGACAGCUACAACUAAUAUGGACAAAUUUCGUUAACCUUAUUUAUGAUUUCUUGGCGGCAUUCAGUUUUUUUUUUAAUAUUUUUCCUGACGCCGCAAAUUUGAUUUGCGGCAUCAUCCUUUUUUAUUUUUUUUCUGCAAGUUUAUUUUUUUAUUUUUUUCUGAUGCCGCAAAUUUGAUUUGUGGCGUCAAUUUUUCUUUUCCCUGGGCAACUACGCACCGUUGCUCACAAUGUGAUCAACAGAAGCAGAUUGCGGCCAAACAAAUUUUUUAAGUGAAAUAGCAAUUUUUGAUUGUUGCCAAAAUUAAUUUUUUUAAACUGAAAAAACAGUUUUUUUAAAGUAAAACCACAAACCUCGAUUGCGGCUAUAAUUUGCCACCGUCCAUCCCACCUAACCUACGUUAACCAACUUGUGAUGGCCACGCUUAUUAUUUCUUUAUACGGCCAUGCACUAACGCCGCAAUUUGAAUUUUUCGCGUUAGUUUUUCCACCAUCGAUCCAUCACAAAGUUUUAGAUCUACAAAUCAAGGUUUAUGAUUUAGUCAAAAAAUAAUUUGUAGUCAAAGUAGCACUACUCCAAUUAUUUGUUAUAUUACCGACAAUAACGACUCAUGCCUCGUCUUCACGGACAAUCUCAACUUUUCUCUUUUCUCUAUAUAUAUGCAUUUGAGAAAACUCAAGUCUCUCACAACUUUUCUCUUUCUGGUGUGGUCCUCAUCUUCAUCUUCUUCAUAUUUCUCUUAGCUUUUCGACGGUAGUUGGUGGAUUAAAAGGACUUCAAUCGAAAAAGCAAUAUUGGGAUUUGAGUAAUAUAGGAUUUUAGUAAUACGAAUUAGGGAUUUUGAUUUUAGAAUUAAGGUUAAAGGGGUUAUGUUUAUAUUAAGGGUUACACUAUGAGGGUUUGGAAAUUAGGGUUUCAUAUUAGGUAAAAUGUUAAAUACUAACCCUAAUUAAGCCUAAUUUAUUAUUAUUUAAGUUUAUAUACUAAUUAUUACAUUUUAUAAAUAUUGUUCAAUGCUGCAUUAUUUAUCAUUAUUUAAAUUAACAUUAAUAUUAAAAAAUUUUGAAAAUAUGACUUAGGCAAAUUUUAUUAGUAAUUUAAUGGCAUACUUGAUUAUCAUCUAAAUUUAUAAAAUUAUUAUUAUUCUAAUAUCAUAUAUUAAAUUUUUGACAAUUCUAGUUUAUAAUAGAAAUUUAGUAAUACAAUUCAAGAAUUUUGAUUUUAAAAUUAGGUUAAAGGGUUAUACUAUGAUGUGAUGGUUUGAAAAUUAGGAUUUCAGGUAAAACGUUAAACCCUCAAACCUAAUUAAGGCUACGUUUUAUCGGGGAAAAAAAAAACUUCGCUAGGGUUACCUUUUAAUAAAAAGAAAAAAAAACAAUCGAUCGCCGUUCAUCUUGUGAGCGGCAAUGCAUUAAAAAAACAAUUAAGCCAAUUCCUUCGCCACUCAGAGCAGCAAAGCCAUUCUGAAAAAAAAAAAAAAACCAAAGCCAUCCAAAAAUAAAUUAAAAGUAUAAUUAUUUUUAUUAGAAGCCUCACAUCGUAGGUGCAGUGAUCCCUUUUUCGGCAAACCCCAACCCUCCCCCCUCCCAAAAAAAUAACACCAUUUUUCUGACAAUUUUCAAUUUUAACGAUAUUCUAAGAAAUUCGCCAACAAGGCUUGAAAUUUUAUUCAAGAUUCUAAAAUUUUUGGUUAAGGAAUUUUCUAAGAACGUGUCUCGUGCUGGUGAUUAAUAUUCACCAAUUUCCAUUGCAUAAGAAAGUGCCUCAUGCUAGUGAUUAAUAUUCACCAAUUUCAUUGCAUAAGAUUCUUCAUUUGAGAAUUAAAAGAGAAAAAAAUUAAAUUACUCUAUAAAUCUAUUUUUUAUUUGCAUGAAUCUUGUGAUCUUGUAUUGUUGAGAAUAUGUUUUCUCUGUUUUUUGUUUUGGGUGAUGGAUUACGUGGAUACACUUUAUUUUACCAUUUUUAUAUAGCGUGUGAAUUUUAAAACACUAACAAAUUUAAAUUUGAAAUUCAAAUUAAAUCAUACACAUAUGGUAUAGAUUCAUAGCUGCUAAUAUAAAAAAAAAUUACUAUAAUGUCAGUAUAUAAAAUAUUAAUCCCACGGCUAAAAUAUGCAUUUGUUAUAUACCAUAGUCCAAUUAAAAAAAAUAAAAAUUGUGAUGUGUUCAUUAAAAAGUUAAUUAAGCAACAAGCUCCUUAAUCCAUACAUGUAGACCAAUUGAUUUUUCAUAGAUGUUAAUCUCUUAUGAAAAAUAAAAAUCUAGCAAACCUAAAACAACUAAAAUGUUAUUAUGAAUAUACAAUUUGUAAAUGAAAAAGGAGAGCAAGUGGUAGAGCGUCAAAACGGAAAAAUAAGAGGUGAAAAGAAAAACAAAGAAAAAGUAGUAAUAAAUUAAUUCAUGCAUUUAAUAUUAUUAAUAGGAGCACAAAAUUUCUGAUGAGUAAAUUUAGGGGCGGGCAAAGUGCCUCUAAUCCGUAAUGAGUAGAUAACAAGCCAAGCCUUCUGUUAAAACGUAAACGAAAACCAAACUCAAAACCUAGGGUUUUAGAUUUUCUUCCCCAUUGCUCAUCAAUGGCGAAGUCCGCCAAGAAACCCAAAGGAAAAAAACCACCAGAAGAAUCCAACACCCUUACGGCUUCUAAUUCGAAACCCGAUCGAUCUAACUCGGAAAACCUAAAUGUUACUACUGCUCCUGAAUCGGAUUCUAACGUUUUCAGUUCUCUGUUCGGAGAAAUUCGUGAAGAAAACUCUACUAAUUUGUCAAUCUUUUCCAACAAUAAUCCGUUCAGAAGAAAACCCGGUAACCCAUCUUCCGAAAGACCGAUCGAUGGCCGAAAUGUGCAAACGGGUUUAGCUUUGGAGAACCCUAAUGGAGAAAAAGCUGGGAAUUUUGAGAAUUCUGAUGGGCCUGCUGAGCUGAAAAAGAGGAAGUGGAAGGAAGAAAAGAAAGGGGAUAUUGAGGAAGAAGAACUUGGAAGGAAAAAAUUGAAGAGGGUCGGGGGAAAUGGCGGAAAAACGAAGGACAAAAUGGAGGAAAAUGGCGUUACUGCAUCCACUGCUAUUCAUGGGGGACUCGUGGACAAUGGAAAUGCGGUUGAUGAGGAGAAAAAGGGAAAGAAGAAGAAGAGGAAGAGGGAUGAGGUGGAAGCUGAGUAUGAGGCGAAAAGAUAUGGAGUUGAGGAGGAGGGGAGAAAAGAGGAGAGAGGCGGGCUUGUCGGGGUGAAGAGGAAAGAAAUGGAUAGCUUGGAAGAUGUUAUGGUUUCUAAGGAGGGGUUUGAUGACGAGAUUAAGCUUCUGAGGACUGUGUUUGUGGGGAAUUUGCCAUUGAAGAUAAAGAAAAAGGUGUUGAUUAGGGAAUUUGGGAAGUUUGGUGAGGUCGAGUCUGUGAGGAUCCGCUCUGUUCCUUUAAACGAUGUGAGUGUUUCCUAGUGUUAAAUUUUUUUUUUUUGUUUCUGGUUUUGCUCUGAAGUUUGCAUUUUUACAUUUGCUUGUUUUGUUACAGAGUAAAAUUCCUAGGAAGGGUGCAAUAAUGAAGAAGCAAAUUAAUGAAACUGCUGACAGGUUGGAUCCUAUUGAUACUUAUUGAAUUCUUUUUGAAAUUUUGUGCAUUUUGUUCUCAAUCUAUGAGUAUUUUAAUGCAAGCUGCUGUUCUUAUCCAUCACUAACCAGGAUAAUUUCUUCAUGACUAAUGCUUCUGAAAGCUAAUCCAAUUAAAAAUGAAAGAGAAAGUGAAAAUAACUUGAAAUAGGAAUUGAGUGGGGGGUCUUUGAGAUACAUUGGUUCAAUAAAUUUCUUGUCACAUAGGAUUUUAUGAAAAGAGUAACUUAGAUAGCCUUGGUUGCAUAUGAUUGUGCAUCUAGAUUGCAGUUAGUUUAAAGCAUCAUCGUUUUCUAUGCUUUUGCUAUGCUGUGAUUGCCAUUUGCUUUCUACUGAUUAAUGGUUAUGGUUGCAGUGUUCAUGCUUAUGUAGUUUUUAAAACAGAGGAAUCUGCUCAGGCUUCUUUGGCCCAUAAUAUGGCAGUGGUAACUCUUCUUCUUUUUUGGAUUUCUUGAUCUGUAUAGUCUAGGGCAGUUGAUUUUUGUGUGAAGUUAGUGCAUGAUGUUUUGUUCAUCGUUGGUGUUAACGCAUGCAGGUUAGCGGUAAUCAUAUCCGUGUAGAUAGGGCAUGUCCUCCGCGCAAGAAGCUGAAGGGGGAUAAUGCUCCCUUGUAUGAUAACAAGAGGACUGUCUUUGUUGGUAACCUCCCAUUUGACGUAAAAGUAAGUUUCUUUCUGAUUGUGCUUGGUCUGGAUUUCACUUUCACUAUUCUUCUGAUAUGGAGAUCUGGACUGACUUUUUUCCAGGAUGAGGAGUUGUAUCAGUUGUUCAGUAGCAUUAAAAAUUUGGAAUCCAGCAUUGAGGCAAUUCGUAUUGUGAGAGAUCCUGGUACAAGCUUAGGAAAAGGCAUUGCGUACAUGUUGUUCAAAACAAAGGUAUGAUUGCAGCAUUUGUGUUAUUUAUCUUCAAUUCAUUCAGCAUUUUUUGUUCUCCCAGUGAUUUAUAUUUCAUGGCAAGCAGUAAAGAAUCCGUAUCCCAGUGCACUUUGGGUAUAGGCCUGAUUGUCACUACUUCUUUUCAAUCUUUGUGUUAGUGAUUUGUUCUCUACAUGGCAACUGCAAUGUUUACCAAAUUAAGUUCAUGCCUCUUUGUACAGCAACACUGUCCACAGUAGAGAUAUUGAAGUUUGUUACAAAGUACGUGAUAUUUACUUAGGCACUUCUAAUUCAUAGAUCUUUGCUGCGGAUAAAAUGGUUUAUUGGAGGAUUGGUGUUUUCAUAGAAAUUUAGUGUUUAAAUAUCUGAUUCCAAUAUGCGACAAAGUAUAUAAGAGAUGAUGGUGCGAAAGGGCUAGAACAGGAGAUUGUUGAAGUGCUUACCUAUCAGGUCAAUGGAGUUAUCAGAACACCAAUGAAAUGCAGACAAAUUUGUCGUUUAACUUUUUAAGCAAGUAAGAAUGGUUGAGCACACUCUCUGUGCCAAAAAUGAUAUGAAUAUGUGGUGAAUGUUGGCAUAUGCAAUUCAGUUUGAGAUGAUGCCUUGGGCUUGGGUCGCCCAAGAAUUCUGCUUUUGGAAUUUUUUGCUGCAAAACAAAAUAUGUUUUUUAUCUUUUUCGAGUUAGAUGUUUUUACAUUCCUCUAAAACUUGCCUUGACUGCAUAAGCAGCAAUAAACCAUAAAUUUACUUGUGCCAGAUCUCAACUUUGAAAUGUCUAGAAGAAUUAUGAUACAGAGACUCAGGGAAGGUGAUGUUAAAUAUCCGUCAGAUUUUGGGGGUUGUGCAUCAGAUAUGGAUAGAGAGGAAAAUUUUGAUUAGGAAAAGGAUGUAAAGGAAAGCUAAACAGUGGUGGUGGUCAAUUUUUCAACUCAAAUUCUUUGUUUAAUUGCAGUUAGUAGGUGUUUCUCCACUUGAGUCAAAGCCCUUUGCCAAUUUGUUUGCUGUUUACAGCUUUAUUGCUUUAAUUAAAAUGUAGUGGAUGAUAAUGUGCAGAAGGAUUAUGGUACCAGGUGAUCAAAAUGGACACUAGUGAGAUAUGGGUUUAUACAAAUCUGGAUGCUAGAUAAAUCUUAAUGUCCAAAUGGGUAGUAGGAGAUGUAAUACUGGUGCACUUAAAGUUCCAGUUUAUACAUCAUCCAGGAGGGAACUCAGUCCUUGAAGCCAUAUAGUGUGGUUGUAUUUUGGCCUUUCUCAAUGCUUGAAGUGUUUAAAGAAAUGCUGAUUUGAAGUCUUGAUAGCAUAAGACUCCUAUUUAACAGUCAAAAACACCCCCAAAAACAGCUAAUCCAAACAGAAAUGUACACCCCCAAAAACAUUUCUGUUUGGAUUAGCUGAAAUAUUUUACUGUAGCAGUGUAUAUAAAAAACUUUUACUAUAGAUUUUUUUGAAAUAUUUGAUAUAUUAUAUAGAUGAGAUGUUUUUUGAGUUGUUUUUGUUUGUGUAUUACUGUAGCAUUGUAUUUCAAAAAUUUGUUUUUGAAAAAUAGGCCAAUCCAAACAGCUGUCUUUUGGUGUUAUUUUAUCUUGUGGCUGAAGCGCGAUAUUACAAGCAUGCACUAAGUAGGCAGAAAAAUGGACUUGAUUCAGUUUACACGUUGUAAUAUGUUUUGUCCCUUUCCUGUGCUGCUUGUAAAAUCUGUUGAUGUUGAUCCUAAGUUUUCCAUCGCGGUUAGGCAAAUUGUUGUACAUUAAGUUCAAAGACUAAUUUGUGGUUCAGCUGGAUGUUAUCUUUUGCUCUAAAAUGGUUGGCUUGUUGCUAGUUGAUUUACAUACUUCUCUGCUUAAACAAAAUCUUUUUGUUGCACGUGCAGGAUGCUGCAGACAUGGUAAUUAGAAGACGUAACUUGAAGCUUAGGGAUCGUGAUUUGAGGCUUUAUCAUGCCAAAGCAGAGACCACUCUUUCAAAGAGAAAAAGUCCCUUGCCAACAAAUACUCCUCCAGCUAAAAAGUUUGGAGGAAAAACCAAAUUUGCUAGCCUUGAAAAUAAGACAACUUCAAAGGCAGCCUCUUCGUACCAGGGUCUACGGGCAAGCAAGUCCGGCAUCCAGAAGAAAACCCAUCGACCAGCAGCAAAUUCUCAGAAAGUGCCUAUGCAAAAAGAACGCCAGCAAAAGAGACCUGCUGUGGCAGCUAGAAAGGCUAAAGCCCUGAAGGCUAAACAAGCAGGAAUUAAGCGCAAAUUGGACAAGCAAACUCCUGAUAGCAUUCACCAGAAGAAGAAAGCCAGGAGAUUUACAUGAGAUUUAAACUGGAUCAAAUCUCAAUGAGCUGUAGAAUUAACAUAGCUAGUAUACGGUCAAUUAGUUGUCCCCAGACACUUUAGAAAUCGUUGGCAGCUCUUGUUAAGUGAUUUGUUCUGAUAUUUGUUCAGCAGGUCUGCUGGCUUUUAUACCAAAAGGACUUGACGUCAAGAAGUAUUUAUUGACUCUAGUGUUGUCUGUCUCUGUAAAAUUAUCUCAAAUGCUACUUCUAUGAAAAAAAGAGCAUUGGUCUCAUUUCUCCUUCCACUUAAUUGGAUUUAGCAUUUUGUAGCGCUCUGCUCAUAUGUGGGAGUCUGUGUUGCUCAAGUUACGGUCUUAGCUCAAUCACCAUGGAUUAUUUUCCCACCCCCAAGAUGUGGCAAUCGUGACUAUAAUUAGCUGUACUGGUUUGUGUUCUGCAGUGCUUUUGAGCUUUGUACAUCAGGCAUAUAUUUAUAAUGACUGUCCCUGCAAUUCAGUACACUGGAUACAUCAGGUAUGUAUAGUCUGUUAAACUUGUAGGCUUAUGAAUCAGGUGCUAACAAAUUUUGCUGAGUCUAUAAUAUCCACGUACAACAUCAGGAGAUUUUAGCUCAGAAAGUUUCUAGAGUCACAGAAUUUUCACGUGUAACAGCAUGGAAUUGCAACUUAAAAAGUACUAUCAAAGAGUGACAAACGUAUAGGAAAUGUUUCAAGGCUUGCUCAUUAUAGAAAGGUUUCAGACUCGUACACCUAUGUAGUUCACUAGUAAACUGAAUCUACAUGAUAUUCUAGAAAUUCAAUAUUAUCCUUUUUAAUGCCUAUAUUAUGUGCAUUAAUAUUUGAAAAGAGUUACUACCUCCGUGCUCAUAAAGAUAGACUCAUUUUUCUUUUGUGUCUAUCUCUACUAAUAAAUUUAUUUUAUUUUCUAAAAAGCUACUCAAUGUAUAAGUGAUGUACAAAUAAGUUUAGGUAACAAGUGUCUAGUGGUCACUCAUUAAACAGGACUUCAAGCUCUAGAUUGUUUACAAAAAUUAAUUUAGAAAAGUACCUAAAUGCAGAAGUGUAAUAGACGCGAGCGUGCGUAUCCGUUCAAUAAGUUCAGUGUAAAUUAGAUGUACUCUACAAUAGAAAAAUUCUUGAUAAAUUUAUUAAUAAGUACAUAUUUAAUGUAAUUUUUUUUUAACAUACAUGACAUCUAGUAUAAUAAAUUCCAAGAAUUGUUUAAGAAUAUGAACCACUAAAUCGAAAGGAAUAAUAUAAUUCGUCUUAUAUUAAAGCCUUAAUGGAAGGGUACAUAAAGAAAGUACUAUAAGAAAAAAAUAAUAAUUGUUUCAACUAGAUUAUCCCUCCCUUCCGAACGUGGAGGGAGUAUAAGCAUGUAAAAUUAAUAAAUUAUUUACAGUAAAUUAUCCAAAUUCCGUUUUUUUUUUUUUUGUUAAUUUAUUUAAUUAUGCGAGUAUUCGCUUGCUGUGGUGCAAGCCGGCCUGACUGCUCCAAGGCACAACAACUUAAUAAACUAUAAAUUGGGGAUAAUUUGAGAAACUUUCCUUGAGGUUUUUAACUAUUUCACUCGGCUCCCCCAAUUUUAAGUAAUUACACUUAUCUCCCUUGGUAUCGUAAAGUACCUAUAAUGCCCUCUAUUUGGUAAACAAUUCACAGUGUAAGCCAAUAGAUUUACAAAAUAAAAAAAAAUCUUAUUUUUCUAUCUUGUGUCUAUUUCAUUCCUCUCAUUUCUAGAUAUUUUUUUGUUAUGCCCUCUUUUCAUUAUGUUCGAUUUUAUGGAUAUGAUCAAAUUGAAGUUGUAAAAUCAACAAAGGAAGUGAAUUAUGUAUCAAAUUAGAAGGAAAUGAAAAAACUUGUAAUGAUAAAGAAAUAACUAAUGAAAUUGGUGAUUAAAAUGGGAAGAAGGGCUAAAGAUGUGGAAUUUGUCGUAUUUUAUUUGUUAUCAAGAAAUUUUUUUGUAAAAUGUCAAAAAUUUGCAUUAGAAUUUUUUUUUGUCGGAUUAAUAAUUAUUGGUUAUGAUUUUGUUGUGGAGGUAGAAUUUAUUCUCUACUUCUUAGAUGUUAAUACUUUUAAGAACAUGAAACUAUUUUAACGGUGGUUCUAGGUUAGAUUAGCUUGUGUUAAAAAGAUGUUGAGGCAUUGAGAUUUAAUUUUCAAAUAUAAAAUUAGUUGUCAAUGGAGAGAGUGUGUAUGCGCUCUUUUGUGUCACAGGUAUUGAUGUUUUAUAUAUAACUUGGGAUCUUUUGGACAGUUACUUGCAUUUGCAACUAAAGUUUAUACUUAUAUAGUUGUUAAGGAUUAGGAUGAUAGAUUUGUGCGAAGUGUGGAAGAAAGUGAUUAAGCAUACUACAUUUUUCUAUUUUAGUUUUGUACAAGUGCAAUUUUGGUUUUUUGAGAGAAAAUUUAAUUUGCUGGACCUGCAUUGUUACAUAAACAGUAAAAAUAGGAGAGUUAUAUAUAUUUUUCAAACCUAAAAGGAGCUCUUUAUAAUUGUCAAAAACCUCAGGGGAGGUUUGUGGAAUACCGAAUACUAUUAAGUGGUAACUCCGCGGCAAAAGGAAUUUUUCUCAUUCGUCUGCGGCCGCUUCAGAAUCAGAGCUCAAGUUUUCUGGACGCUCUUGAGCUCAGCUCCAGAAAAACAUGUCUUCAAGAAAAGGAGGCUAUAGAAGAGGAGGAAAAAAUUCUCACUUUUAUCAGCACCAAAACGACGAAAAUUGGACUUUAAAACGCGUCCAAGAUCACAAUUUACCGCCCCAAUUUGACCAACAAUUCGCGCCUUCAAACUCUGAGCUGAAUGUUGAACAUAAUCAUUUUGAACAGCCCACAACGACAUCCAAGAACCAAAAAUAUCGCCAGAAUAGAAGAAAUCCGGGGUGGGGUCUGCGAAAUCGGAGACCCCAGGCGGUCAAACCUCAGUUUGUUAAGAAAUCUGAGGUGAGUUCUUUGGGUAUAGAUGAGAGGAAUGAUGAAAAAAGGGAGGAUUUUAGGGAUGGCCUUGGCGAAGAAUUGGAGAAGAUUGCUAGUAAAAGUGAAGUUGUUGAAGGGAAGGAUGAGGUUGAGGAAAAAAUUGAAGGGUCUGGUCUGAAUGAGGAGGAUGUUGAUGUGGUGCAGAAAAGGUUGGAAGAGUUACUGUUGAGCGCUCAAGAGGCUGAGUUGUCUGAAGAGCAGCUAAGGAUUAAUGAUCAAGCUCAGGAGGAUGAGGUAAAUUAUUAUACUCGACUUUGGAAUGUGUUUGAUUAAUUGGAAAGUCAAUAGCUUGUUAACAACUUAGUUGUGUUUAUAUGGAUUUCUAAUGCUGCUGCAUAUGAUAACUUGAUCUUCCGUACCCUUUUGUUUAAGAAAUUUGGACUUUAACACGAUUUUUGAUAAUGGGUUAUGACUAUAUCAGAUGCUAUGCUUGCUAUUACUUCUUGUUGUGGAUAGGAUGGUUUGAGUUGGAUAUUACCCUGAUCAUGACGAUCUCAAUUCACGGAGACAUUGUGUUUUUUGUAUUUCUUGUAUGCUGGAAUUUACAAGUACUGUAUCUGAACUAAUUUGACGAUUCAAUUCUGUUUAUGCAAAGGAGAAGAGCGAGCUGAUGAUUGUAAUUGAAUUUCAUUUGCCGAGUGAAGGGGCUAGGAUAGGUCUGAAAAAUUGUUUAGCUCAACUGGAUAAAGAUUUGUUUAACCUAUUGAGAAGAAGAGUUGAGAAUCUGUUUUAACUUAAUUGAGUGGAAUUCUUUGAGUGUAUCUGAACUAAUUUGACGAUUCAAUUCUGUUUUCGCAAAGGAGAAGAGCGAGCUGAUGAUUGUAAUUGAAUUUCAUUGCCAAUUGAAGGGACUAGGAUAGGUCUGAAAAAUAAGAUUAGGUGAGAAAAAUUGUUUAGCUCAACUGGAUAAAGAUUUGUUUAACCUGUUGAGAAGAAGAGUUGAGAAUCUGUUUUAACUUAAUUGGGUGGAAUUCUUUGAGUGUAAGUUCAUGUAAAAAGAAAAUACCCCGAAUGACACUUUGAUGGUUGGUGAUACUAAGUUCUCUUCUUUAUGGUGUCAAGUUGCAGUUCUGGUCUGAUUAUAUAUAUGCAGCAUUCUGUAGCUGCUAUAGGUUGGGUUCAUUAUUUUUAGGAUGUCUGAUGGCUUCAAAAUAGUCACUAAGAGAACAAGGAUUCUUAACCAAAAUUUCUUUAUGUUUAUCCCAAUCAUGCACUUUAGGCUUAGUCUAAGCAUUGGCUAGGCAAGAUAAAAGAGCUGUGAUAAACUUUUCCGUGGUAGUCAUUGUGGAUCUAGCCUAGUCAGGAUCCUUCAUAAAUGGCACAGGAAUACUUGUCUAAUUAGACUUGGAGCAGAAGAGAUACUUUUGUCAGCAUAUUUUGCCGAAAUAUGAACAUAUAUAUCAACAGAAGGCAGAUGUAUGGUUCACAGAACGUGCUUUUGCAGUUGUUAGUAAAUCAAAGCAAUCCGUUGUCCCGUUUCUUGUAAUAUAUCCAUUGGAGUCAUCUCUCUCUCUCUCUCUCUCUCUCUCUCUCUCUCUCGCUCUCUCUGUCACACACACACAUGGACUCACACACACAAAAAAAUACAUGCAUGUCAUUCUCUAAUUCUUUUUUGUUUCACCCGUUUCAGUUACUAGCUAUGGAGUCAAUUUAUGGUGACAACAUCUUCUUUCUUGACAAACAGAAUGGCCUGAGAUCUUUUCAGGUUAUGUCUUCAAAAUUUAUUGCCUGUUGAUUCAUGCUUGGAGGAUAUUAUCUGACACUAGAAUUGUUUACUGGAGGAUAUUAUCUAACAUUAAUAUUGUUUACCAGAUUCAUAUUCAUAUCGAAACACCUAGUGAAAUUUCCGUAGCUGUGAAGCUGAACUCAUCUGCAGUAAGCAAGGCCAAUGAUGAUUCAUCCGAGUUCUCUUACUCUUUCAAAGUCGAGUAUCUGCCACCAAUCAUAUUGACAUGCAUAUUACCUAAAUCAUACCCAAGUCAUCUUCCUCCUCAUUUUACCAUCUCUGCCCAGUGGUUAUCUUCCACUAAGAUUUCUGAUCUUUGCAAUGUACUUGACUCCAUUUGGAAUGAGCAAUCAGGACAGGAGGUUAUAUAUCAGUGGGUCGAAUCAAUACACAGUUCUUGUCUUUCUUUUCUUGGUUUUGAUCAAGAAAUUAUUCUUGGUCCUUACGCUGUGAAGCAGGAACGAGAUAGGCGUGCAAUUUCAGGAAGUGUCUCCCCAGAGGUUGAUAUUCCAUACAUGAAAAGCUAUAGCGAUGAGCAGCGGCAUGAGAACUUUAGCAAAAAUAUCCACGAAUGCUGCAUUUGUUUCAGCGAAUUUGCAGGUAGUUUCACAUGAUGUAGUUCUAAUCAUCAAAUUUGAUUACAUUUUCUCCUUUCUUCUGGCAUCGCGGUAUCAAUAUGUGUUCUUAGCAUGAAUUUAUUUUGUGAAAUGUUACAGGUACUGCCGCCAAACUUGGUCUGAAGUGCACAAAUAGUUGAAUCUUGCAGUUUUCAAAUUAUAGAAAUGCUUGAUAAGACCAUUGGAGAGAUGUUGUUCCAUUUACUUGAAGUUGCAUGUACACAUCGGAUUGUGAAUGUUUCUAUGUUUAGUGGUACUAGUGAAUUUUAUUGAUCUAAGCCCAGUUUCAUGCACACUCCCUCACAUACAUAAUUAUGUCUUCAGUGCAGAUGACCAUUUAUUGAAUUUCUUAAUUUCCAUUUAAUUAAUAUUUAACUUGGUCUUAUUCUUUCUUCUAGUGACAAUUUUGCUUUGCUUGUAAUUCUUUGUUUGACUCUAUCAAGUGCUUUCUGAAGUUUGUUCAAAAUGUAUUUGUCUUUCAAAACCUGCGAAGAUUUUGUAGUCUGGAAUGUCAUCAUUUGAAGACCAUAAUAGUGUAAAGUUUUUUAUUCCACUAUACUGCCAAAUGGUGCUUUAGUGACUUUUCCCCUCUCUCAGGCACAGAAUUUGUUAGACUUCCAUGCCAGCACUUCUUCUGCUGGAAGUGCAUGAAAACCUAUUCUGAUAUCCAUGUAAAAGAAGGGACAGUUAGCAAGCUUCAGUGCGCUGAUGCAAAAUGUGGGGGCAUGAUUCCACCUGGUUUACUAAGACGAUUGCUUGGUGAUGAGGAGUUUGAACGUUGGGAGUCAAUGACGUUACAGAAGACAUUGGAGUCAAUGACUGAUGUGACUUACUGCCCAAGAUGUGAAACAAUUUGCAUAGAGGACGAAGAGCAGCAUGCACAGUGCUCAAAAUGUUACUUUAGCUUUUGUACCCUGUGCAGGGAAAAACGACAUGUUGGAGUUGCAUGCAUGACUCCCGAGAUGAAGCUUCUUGUUUUGCAGGUAUUGACUUUGCGCUUGGUGUAAGUCUCUUCUUUUCGAGGUUGGUUAUUAGAGACAUGAGUUAAAAUGUCUUGAAACCUAUUAGAAUUGAGAUACCGUUUGCCAUUUGACCAGACCUGUGAUAGCAUAAGCAUGUUUUGAGAUAUAACUUUAUGUCUAAACAAUAAGAAGGCUACCAUUAGGUAGUAUUGUGUCCCCAGUUUCCAAGUUUAUUUCUUUUUUCUCUAGUGCAUUAAGAUUUUCCUUGAUUCUUCUCUCAGAUGAGGUGUUAACUAUGAGCAGAAUUUGCUUUGCUAGUGUUUGCCUUUUCUUUUGAAUAGUUCUGUUUGGUUCCUUUCUCGGCCUUCCUCGUAUCAAUUACCAGCUAUGUAUAGGUUUUUGUAGAUUUGAAAUGCUAAACUUUUGUUCUUUGAAACAGGAGCGGCAGAAUUCAUCUCAACUCAAGGAUGAUCAAAGACGUCGUGAGAAAGAAAUUAUUAAUGAUCUCCUUAGUGUCAAAGAGAUAAAUAUUUCUGCAAAGCAAUGCCCUUCUUGUAAGAUGGCCAUCUCUCGGACUGAAGGUUGCAACAAGAUGGUAUGUGGUAAUUGUGGACAUUAUUUCUGCUACCGCUGCAAUAAGGAAAUUGAUGGAUAUGAUCAUUUCAGGUUUGAAAUUCACUCUCUAUUAGCUUCUUACAUGCCUCUAUAUGCUAGUUUGUUUUCUAAUCUGUUUGGCAACUCUUGAGCUUCUUCUUAUUAAAGGGAUGGAAGUUGCGAACUUUUUCCACCUGAAACUAUUCAGCAUUGGGAAGAGAGAAUGAAUGCUCGUCAAGUUGUGGGUCAGAUCCAAGCUGAAAUGUUUCCAGAGCGUGGUCACUCAUGCCCUAAUUGUGGUCAAAUAAAUCUAAAGGUUAGAGAAAUGUCUUCAUAUUUUGAGGCUUAAUAUUUCUGCAACCUUGCUAUAGCUAUUAUUCAUGAUAGUAUAGAGCUCGAGCAUCAAAUUUGUUAAAUUGAUUCCUUAAGCUAGAAGCAUAGCAAUAUCAUUAGCAUAGAGAAUUGUGGCAUGAAUGCCAAAGAGGAAUGAGUCGAUAUCUCCUGCCUUCUUCAAUAACUCCACUCAUUUAAAUGGGUGUUUCCUAUUUCUACUAAGUUACACCAUGGAAAUGACAGAUUGUAUCUUUUGUACCAUCCUCAAUUAAACAAUAUGAGCAAAUAGAAAAUGCAGGACUGUAGAAAAGACGAAGGGAAUUCUUAAACUGAACUCUCAUGUGUUGCAGAGAAGAUUAUGAAGCAAUUUCUAACUCUCUGCUGCAUAUUGAAACUAUAUUAAUCAUCAAGAAAAAACGAUUUGAGUAUCUAAAAACCAUUUCAAAGGUAUGGACCUGAGUAUGUUACUGGUACUUGGCCAUUCAUAAAUUAUCUGUUUGUUCCGUAAUUGCAGGUAAAAUGAAUGCUCAUCAUGCUAAAUGAAGAAUCUAGUUAACAAUGAUCUUUCUUAAUGGACAGCAAAAUUAUCAAACAAGUAUAUCAAAGUAGUAUCUUGGCAGUGGAAAACCAUUUAGCUUGAAUUCAUAUGAACUUAAAAUAAUCUUGCCUUUUGAACUGCCAUACCUUGUCAACAAUCUGCUGUAAGUCUUGAAGUUUAUUUUGAAAGCAAUCUUGGUUUCCCUUUAAAAUCAAAUAUGGGCAGAAGUAGAAGAUUUUCCAAUCAAUUGCUGUAAAAUUUUCUUUCUCCAAUCUUCGUCUUUGUCGUUUGCAGUUAUAAAAAACUUUGCUUGUUAUUACUUUUAGUUGUAAACUGACCUUUCUGUUAUCUUUUCCAACUUGUGGAGUUGAUAUCUGAUUGGUCCUCUUUUUCCCUUUCCGAUCCUCUGGCAGGCCGGGAACAACAAUCACAUCUUCUGCUGGGCAUGCCAGAAUCAUUACUGCUAUUUGUGUAGAAAAAUGGUGAGACGUAGCGCCCAACAUUAUGGACCAAAGGGUUGCAAACAGCACACUGUGGGAUGACUACGAUUAAGUCACCAAGUUCUAGUACCUUGGAAAGCAUAUGCUAUAUACAACAAAUGCAUACCAAACCUGUGCUUUUUAGAUUCCAACAGAGUUAAUGGAAUUCCCAUGAAACAGUACUUUCUUGCAUCAAAUCAGGACGUACCAGAAUUUUGUAUUGCUUUUCUUCAAAUUUCACUCGUUAGAGCUUCUUACUCUUUACUUCCAAUUUCCGUGAUUUGUAGAUUUCUACAUGCUGAGUGCUGUUGUAUAUCCUCAGUUUUGGGUUAUACAUCUUUUUUUUUUUUUUUGUCACUCUUAUAUAGAAAAAUGCCAAUUGUAAAAUUUCUCUACAUUUUGGUCCCCCUCGAAGUUACGAUUAUUCUGAAGUUCUUUCUCCUAAAUUUCUAUCAUUUUGAAGUUUGUCGAUGCAGUGCAAAUGGGAUUUUCUCAUUUCUUGAAGCUGAAAAAGAAUCACGCUGAUUAAUACUCAAAUGCCAUGCUUUUCAAAUUGCCUACAGAUGAUCAAAAUGGAUGAGCAAUGCACUUGUUUUAGUUUUAACUAUUUGAGAUCAGGGCUUGCUGUUGUUUCUUCACCAUUGUGCUCCAAGAAACACUCACCUGUAUGAGGAACGGACAACAAUUUUACAUGUAGUGUAGGGCUGCAAACGAGCCGAGUUGAAUCGAGAUUUGGGCUAAUCGAGUCGAGUCUCGAUUAAAUUUUAUUAAGUUCGAACUCGAGUUUGAGCUUGACGAGCCGGCAAUUUAAAGUUCGAGCUCGAUUCGAGUCGAGCUCGAGCUCGAAAAAAAAUAAAAAAUAAUUAUUUUAUUUUUAAAAAAUAAAUAAAAUAAUAUUUUUUCUUAAUAAAUAAUAAAAUACUAAGGAUAUAUAUGUAAUUUUACAAUUAAAAUAAGAAAAUAAAAAUAUAUAUAUACUUAAAAUAAAAAAAAUAAAAAAUAUUAUAUAUAUAUAUAUAUAUACUCGAGCUUGCGAGUUGGCUCGCGAGCUAACGAAUAUUUUGAGCUCGAGUUCGACUCGAACUUGAUAUUGAUCGAGCUCGACUCAAGCUUGACUCGAGCUGCUCGCGAGCGGCUCGAUUCGUUUGCAGCCCUAAUGUAGAGCAAGUAGAAGCCAAAAGAAUGCACCACUGGUUUGCCAUAAAAUUCAACCUAUCAAGAAAAAUGCACUACUUGAAAGAUCGGAAAGCAUGAAAGGAAAUUAGAUUAUAAACUUUCAAACACAAUAAUCAAACUUAAACCUCCAGUAGCAAAUUUAAUGAUAGCCAAAUUCAUCGACCAUGAAAGCUGAGGAUUUUUUUAGUUUGGUGUUUAAAAAAAAAACCAAUUUAAAGAUACCCAAAUUAAUCGGCCAUGAAAGUCAAGAAUUCUUUUAAUUUGGUGUUCAAAAAAUCAUACCAAACUGAGAUCAAGAAAUUUUUUUGUCAAUUUUAGAUGUUAUAGCAUUGCUUUUAUGAUGUGAAUAUCUAUGUCCAUACUAUAAAUAAAUCUUAGGGCCUAAUGGUAUUACAAUCAUUUUGUGAUCUACAUUUUCUACCCUCACAAUAAAGGGCAUACCGAUGCAACCAUUCUCAUAUACAUACAUACAUACAUAUAUACAUAUAUACAUACAUACAUAUAUAUAUAUAUAUAUAUAUAUAUAUAUCUGACUAUAAUAUAAGAAUCAGUUGGUUCUACUGUAACUCCUUCAGGCACUGCUAUGUGGUACAAUGAGACUUGAAGUUUGAAUUUCUUUUGCUGUCUUGACCUUUGUUCUGCCAUUAUAAGAAUCCAAACGGGCUGCAAAUUUUGGGCCAUGGAAUAACGAUAUGAUAUGAAGUAUGGUAAGAGAAGGGCAGUCCAGUCACUUGCUAUGAAAAAAAAAAAAAAGAAAAACAGUGUAGACAAUCUGUUUUAUGCUAUUAAAAUCAAAGAAAAAAGUAGGCUUAUCUCUGUUUGGAUUGAUAAUUUUUUCAAAAAUAAUUUUUUCAAAUACAAUGCUACAGUAAUACACAAUAACUCAAAAAAAAUCUCAUCCAUGCAAUAUAUCAAAUAUUUCAAAUAAUUUUUAUAGUAAAAUUUUUUUCAUAUACACUGCUACAGUAUUUCGAAUUUGUAUUUUAAGUUUUUUCUAUUUGUUUGGGAUUUAGAGGGAAAAAAAAUCUACCAAAACUUAUACUAUGGCUCUGAUAUAAAAAAGUAUAAGAGAAACAAAGCUCUUUUAUUUUUAUUUUUGUUUUGUCGGAUGAAUUCUUUAUUGUCAAUUUUGAGCUGUUGGAUUUGAAUUUAUCAAUUGUUCUUCUCUUAGUCACCAUUGGAUUGUUAACUUUGUGAUGCACUUUGCCAGAGUUUAAAACCUUUGACCAUUAUUUUUUAGAUAUUGUCCCUUAUUUUUAAAUAGAUAGGCGGCAAGCUUUAUUUGAGAUGAAAAUCAAAGAGAUUUCUAUCAUAUAAUGUCCACAAGGUGAAUUAAGAAAAUCUCCAGAAAAUGAGCUUCAAAUCCUCUAAUUAUUUGUUUUCUUCACAAUAUAAUUCAAUAGUGCAACCUCAUGCAAAAAAUAAAUAAAUAAAUAAAAGGACUAUACUAUUCCAAGCUAACAGAAAUAAAAACUAAUUUUUCAUAUAUAAUUGAAUGGUUUCUAUACUAUAAAAAAUAAAGAGUUUGAAAUAAAUACUUCUUUAGAGAAUAACAAAACUGGUAUAUUUUUUAAACAACCAUGCACAUUUUUCUUUGUACUACUAUAAGGUGACAAAAAAAAAAAACAAUUCGUGAAAAAAAUAUGCACAUCUUUCUUUUUGUUAUUAAACACCAACUAGGUUGUCACCUCUAAAUUAUGAAAACACUUAUAUGUUUUGUUAUUUUUUCCAAAAAAAUAUGAUUGCAACUACCACGAAUAUAUUACUUGGUCAAUUGGUACAUUGAAUACUUUUCAGUGGACACUGGCUGUGCGUAGCAUAGCGUAGCUUAACUAGUAUAUAUACAUACAUAUGUAUGUAUAUGUGUAUGUAUAUAUAUAUAUAUAUAUGUGUGUGUGUGUAUACCAAAACUAAUCAUCUUUACGUUUUAAUUUAAACAGAUUCUCUAACAAUAGUAUAUAUACAUACAUAUGUAUAAAUAUGUGUGUGUGUAUAUAUAUAUAUGUAUCCCAAAAAACUAAUCAUCUUUACAUUUUAAUUUUAACAGAUUCUCUAACAAAUUAACUUUUAUAGUUCAAACUUUAAAACUAAUUUCUACAAAAAAAAAAAAAGAAUUGUACAAAUAAACAUAUCUAUAUCAUUUGUCUACACGUUGUCGUAAUCAUUAAUCAGAACAUAUGUAAAUUCGGGAAGUCCAGGCCCAAAUGUGAGGACCGCCGAAAGGUCCAAUAGCCAAAACCCAAGGUCACAAGUCAGAGAGAACUCCAGAGGGCGGCAGAGUGGGGAGAAACUUGAAAAAUAGUUGUGUUGCUGCCUUUGACGUUCAGCAAAAGUGCCUGCAAACGCCACCAAGCCAUAACAAUAUAGCUCGAAGGAAAAAAAAGUGGCACCCACGCCCACGCUGCUAGUCUCAUCUCACAGGUAUCUUCAAUUCUAGGACUUCUGAGUUUUCCGUCUUCCUAAAGGCAGGAAGAUAAGACGACCCUUUACUCCGUUCUUCAAGAUUGUUUCUCAAAUUUGUGGUAUUGAAUUGAAAUUUUUUGUCCUUUUUAUUGAUUUUCAUCUGGGCUGGUCAGAAUAGCAAGAAUAUGAAAUUUAAGUAUCUGGGAUGUCUUUAUUUUCAGUUAAGAGUUCAAGUUCUUGGGUUGAAGUAGUUAGAGGCAUGGUCUCAACUUAGAAUGCUAUGGAGAAAGGGACUUUCUUGCUUUUUAGCGUCAGAAGAAUUAUGCUGGUAAGUUUGGCUGUGUUUGAAAGAAGAAAAGGUCGAACUUUUGCUUCAUGGGUCUGUGCUUAUUUUCAAAAAAAUCUUACCUUGACUUGAUUUUCUCUGGUUUAUUCGAAUUGAGGUCAUUUAAGAGGCCUGUUAUUGUUAAAGCUAGCAGCUUUACUAAACUGUAUAGAGGUGCUUCUGCUCUUCUGCUUCUAGAUGAUUAUGAUUCUGGCUCAAAUAGUGAUAGCUCUUUAGUAGUGAAUGAAGUAGCUGUUCCAGAAAAUAGGCUGCAUACAUGUGACGGGCUCCAGUUGCUUUCCGUUGUGGUUAGAGUUAUAAAGUCGUUGAACUGGCGAGCUGCAAGAGAGAUGAGGUUCAGAGAAUCCGUAGAGAAGUAUGGUUUUCCAUUUUCUAUUGACGCCUUUAGGAUGACAGUGCAUGUAUUUGGGUUUGCUCGAAUGCCAAUGGAAAUGCAUGGUUUGCUUAGGGAUGUUUUAUAUUAUUAUCAAGAUGUCGGUUAUGAUAUGUUUGAGUUGCUUCCAAGUAUGUUAGAAUUGCUCAAUGAUGCGGAAACCUCGGCUGUUCUUGUUGAUGUCCUUAUAAAGCUUUUUGCUGCCAAUUCUAUGCUUGAAAAUGCAGUUGACGUGUUUUUCCAGGCUCAGAACAUUGGCGUUCAGCCUGGUAUACGGUCAUCUAAUUUCUUGCUUAAGUGCUUGGUAGAAGGGAGUAGAAGGCAAGAACUUUCAACUUUAUUUGAGGAAAUGAAGAACUCUGGGCCAUCUCCUUCUGUCUAUACGUAUACAAUUCUGAUGAAUUUCUACUGUAAUGAGCAAUACGCACAAGACAAGGUGGAUAUGCAACAAGCCACUUCAAUUCUUGAAGAAAUGGAUAAUAAUGGUAUUGAGCCAUCUGUUGUAACAUACAGUACAUAUAUUCAUGGACUUUGUAGAGUUGGAUUUGCUGUUUUAGCCUUGAAGCUUAUCCAGGACUUGAAGCAUAAUAACCAGCCCCUCAAUGUUUACUGCUACAAUGCUGUAAUGCAUGCAAUUUGUAGAAAUGGUAAACCAGAUGAAGCUAUGGGACUUUUGGGAGAAAUGAGGAGUUAUGGAAUCACACCCGACGUUUAUAGCUACAGCAUUCUAAUUGAUGGGUUCUGUGAAUGUGGAGAGAUUGAGAAAGGUCUUACUUUAUUUGAGGAGAUGGAGAGCCCUGAAGUAAAUAUAAAACCAUCUCUUGUUACCUAUAGCUCACUCUUAAAAGGACUAUCUGGGAUUGGACUGAUGGAAGCCUCAGUUGACAUGUUCCAUAGGCUUGGAAGUUAUGGAUACAAAUAUGACCAGCAUGCAUUCAGCAUCCUAAUAAGUGGAUAUCUUAUGCAGGGCAAUUUGGAUUCUGCCCAUGAACUCCUGGAGGAGAUGAUCAGAACUAAUUUGACUCCUUGUGCUAUAGAUUAUAAAAACUUGAUCAAUGGUUUCUGCAGGAUUGGUUCAAUUGAUAAGGCCUUGCAAUUGUUCAAUACUGUGAAAGACUCAGGAGUACGGCCUAAUACUUUAACUGUCAAUGACAUUGUAAGUGGGUACUGCAUGGAAGGAGAUAUCAGGGAAGCUUUGGAAUUUCUUGAAGAAAUGACGGACCAAGGCAUCAACCCCAACAUUUAUAGUUACAGUAUAAUAAUAAAUAGGCUGUGCAAGGAAGGAAAAUCUGAAUAUGCGUUGGAGCUUAUCCCUAUGAUGCUUAAAAGGAAUAUAUUACCAAAUGUUGUAGUUUAUAGCACUCUCGUAGAUGGUUUUGCUAAACAGGAAAAGUUAGAGAAGGCCUUAAUGUUGUAUACAAGAAUGAUAAAGUUUGGUGUUACUCCCAACACAAUCACUUUUACUAUCCUCAUAAAUGUAUUAUUCACCAUGGGUAAAGUGAAAGAGGCAUAUAAUUUGUUUGAAAAGAUGAUUUUGAAUGGCCUGGAUCCUGAUAGGAUAUGUUACACAUCAAUUAUAGCUGGAUUGUGUAAGAUUGGAUAUGUGAAGAUCGGUUUGAAGUUGUUUGAAGAAAUGCUGCAGAAAGGCCAUAUGCCUUCAGUUGUUACUUAUACUUGUUUAAUUGAUGGUUUUUGCAAACAAAAUCGAAUGGAUAUUGCAACCAUGUUGGUGGAUAAAAUGAGAAGACACAACAUGUCUCCUGAUGUGGUGACUUAUGAUGUUAUUAUUCAUGGAUACAUUAGGAAGGGACAAGUGCACAAACUUCAUUAUUUAUUUGACGAAAUGAGAAAGGAAGGCAUUGUUCCUGAUGAUAUUAUGUGUAAAACACUAGGGCUAAUUGGCUGUAGAUAAAGGAUGUUAAGCUGCAGAACAUGCUUUUACUAAGAGGGUUCUGGUGACCUUCUUAAUCUGUGGCAGCUGUUUUGUUCAAUACCUCUGCAAAGGUUGGAGAUGUGACCACUUUAUCCUUCUUGCAGCUGGCUUGGUGGAGCCCAAACUGGGUAAUGGUCUUUCUUGUGAAUCUUUUUGUGUCUGGAUAUGUCGAUUACUGCAUGUCAGCAAUGUAAAACUAGAGAUUCUUGUUAACAUGGAAGGGUACAAGUAUGCUGCCUUUGGGAUAAUUAUUAGGAAUAGAUACCCAUGUACUUUUCGAUAGGACUAAUUGAUGUAAUGCAGUAGUUCUUAUUGAAGGUUGAAACUCUAUGCUUUCCAGGCAAGUGAGUAGCACUCUUUGCUUCCAGGAGUAGAAUUUAAAGAAAACUAGUACCUUGUGUAUCACAGUUACCAUUUCUUCAAAAAAGGGUUAGUUCCUUAUUUUCGUAAGCUUUAUGGUUUUAAUGGACGAGAUCCUGUUUCAUGUCCUUACAAAUACUACCACAUUUCCACCCUGGAAUAGGUUUCACUCUUGUUGCCCGGAGAAUUCAUUCCCUUGAAACACACACACAAAGUUUCUGUCCUUUAGAAUGUUGGUCGAACACAGAAGAUUAUAGAAUGUCAAUCUUGUUGCACCUACUAUGUCAACUUUAGGGAAGUAUUCCAUUUUGCAGUUGUUAUCAGUUCUGAAGCCUUAAUUGUACCCAAUCACUUAAAAACUCAACCUGGGAAGCAGUCUCUGCUUUCUGAAGGUCUUCCUAGCAUAUACUGCUAGCAUGACUUUAGAUGUGCGACAUUCUUUUUCGUACACGAUCAUCCUCAACAGCACUAGACAGCAGCACGUAAUGGUCUUCUUCACAUUCUGCUAAGAAAUGCUAGUAUUGUGGGACCUUUAGCUAUAUAUUGUAAUUGGCUAUUUAAGAAACCUGCUUCAUUGUCUAUGCAUCUGCACCAUUGAAACAUUGAAGUAAAGUUUAACUGUUUUGAAGUCUGCAAUUGUAUUGUUUCUCUGGUGUUGUCCCAUAUUAAGUGACCUUUUCUACAUUGUUGCCGCUGUAUGGAAUUUCUUUCAUCUGCUAGUUUUAUCCUCAUAUAUUUCCUUCAACUGAAACUGAGCAUACAGAUGGUGUGCUAUCAAAUUAUCAUUAUUAUCCUAUUUUGGUAGCAUGUUUUCAGCACUUCUCUCUCUCUCAUAGUAGGUCUGGAUUUCUUUAAAGUGUUACAGUGCAAAUGAAUGAUGUAACUAACUAUAGCUUUCCUCGGUCAGAUUGAAGGAAGGCCUUAGCAUGAAUGGGGAAUCUCUGAACUGUGGCUGUUCCCAUCAGGUUCUUUUUGGCAAGCACUCUGGUACAGUACUAAGCUUUAACACAUCUCUCUCUCCCUCUAUCUCAUAGUAGUUAUGGAUUUCCUUCGAGUGUUAAAGUGCAAUGCUGAAAUUGUAAUUAAGUCUAGCUUUGCUCUGCCAGAUUGAAGAAAGGACUUAGCAUGAAAAGAGAAAUAAUCUCUAAUAUGUGGCCUGUGCCCAUCAGGUUCUGUUUACUAAGCACUCUGCUAUGGAUACUUUGUCCCCCUCUUCAUCUCAAACACAAGCAGAUGCAUUCUUGGUUCAAAUUAUGCAUCAUUUUCCUUUCCCUUUCAUUAGACUGAGUGAAUAAAGGAUUGGAUUUCACCAUCAUGUGCGCUGGCAGACUUCAAAUGCAGAAAUGUAGUGUGAGAAAGUUUUGUCUGUUGUUGUCCAACGAGUUGUAUGAUUAAAAGAGCCAAGUGUGAUACCAAGGCCACCUUUGGUAGGUCAUAUUUCUUCUAUUUUACAACCAUUUUCUAUAAAUGUUUAUGUCUCAUCUCAUUUGCAUAUGUUUAUCAACAUGAAUGCGUUCACAGGUAGCUGCAUUCAAUUCCAUUUAUUUCUUUAGAGGAAUUCUGGAUUGAUGCAAUCUCUUAAUAUCAAUUAGAAGGGUUAAUGCUGUGGAAACUCAAGUUAAAGAGUGGUGCCUUGAGAAUUCUACUUACAUCAGAUGGUAAGCUUCAGACAAUCUUCAACUUGCUAUAGAUCAGGAAUUCCUAUAUUUUGUUCUUGCUUAUGGUCAGAACAGUAUCAGAUAAAUGUGAAACCAACUGGUAAAUUCCCCCCCCCCCCCCCAAAAAAAAAACCAAAAAAAGGCACAAAAACAAAAAAGGGAAUCAUGGUGUGGUUUUAUAACUUGUGUGAAAUAAAGGACAAACUAGUAUUUCAAAUUGAAGGACUGUGCAGUAUGUCAAUAAAUAUUCUGGAAUAUGUAUUACGGAGCCUGAAAUCUUGGUAGAUAUUGUUUCCAUAUUCACAAUCUCGUCUUUCACAUGUAGGACAAACAAGAGCUAAAAAUUGAAACAUAGAGUCCACACACGUAUGAAGAUUUACAAAUGGAUCAACAUACAGUCCACAAACAUUGGAAGGUGGACAAAUAACAUGUCUAGUAAUCUUCAAGGUUGUCAACAGCAUCUGGCCUCACAGAAGCGUGCUUAAUCACACCAAUCAGAUACUGUCCCAAGCCAUUGGAGCUGCCAUUGUACUGUGUACCACUAGUUAGUCCAACAGUAACAUAUGGAAGUUGUACAUAUUUGCUUUACUAGUUAACUGGUAUUAAGCAUAAUGUGGUGGAGAUUAUGUUUUCGGUAAAUUUGUUCAAUCUUUGAUGCAUUCAAAUGUCCACUUAUUUCAGUUAAAUGUAAGUCUGAGUUUAAACAUGUAACUUGACAAAGUGGAAAGUGAAGUAGAACUGAAAAUUGACACAAAAAACCUUAAAGCUCCAAGGUAGGAAAACCUAGAUGUGCUGAUGCUUUAUAUACUCUUGUGUUGUCUUUCUCAGUGAGGAUUCCACUGGCACUGGUAACAUUGUUUAGUUUUGUUGUUGUGAUUAGCAGUAGUUCUAUGCUUGUUUUCCUCUUGGAGAUCAAAGCAGAUAUGUUGACUAAGGCCAGUGUAGAAGCCAAAACUUAGCUUGUAGCCUGUUUCUACAUGUAUGCUUAAGCCAAACAUGAAAAGUAAUUGGAUUAAAGCCUGGAGGUUGAUUAUUUCAUUAUUCUUUGCACUGUUGCUCGUGAAUAUAAAGCAAGAAUAUUUUGACUGAAGUAUCACACAGACCAGGAAUAGAAGUCUACCUGCUUUGGCAAGGUUUGAAUUUUCAUCACAACCAAGUGCCCAGAAAAAUUACCCACCAAGACCCUGAGCCUUGGCAAACCUGAUUUUAUUUUUGAUUGAUCUGGUAUCAUCAUAUCCGAUCCAGUUGGUUCCAGUAUACGAAUAGGUUGAUACUGUUGUGUGAUCAUAUACCACGGUAGUAGCUUUGUUUGCUAAAUUGAAGUCCACUAUAUCUUUAUAUGCCAUAAUACCUCCAUUUCCAGGACCAACUCUCACAGCGGGAGCUCCAUGAUCGUUUGGGCCCUUUAAUUGCCAUGUCCUGCCAUAUGCUGGCAUGCCCAUGACUUGCUUUGUCAAGGGAACACCAUUCUUCCAUGAAGAAACUCCAUAGCUAGUGCUGACAUUACUAGACCUUGUCAUAGACCAGCGCAUGAGCCCCAGUUACUGCAGCGUUCCAAGCACCAUGGCAGUCAGAGCACAUGGGAUUCAGAGAAUCAACAUAUUUCCUAAUGGCAGAACCAGGAUAGGCAUAUGGCAAUUCAGCUAACAAGAAUCUAGAAGCAAACAGCUGCAGAUGUCAGGAGUCGAGGUUUGCCUGAGGCAAGUGACUCCUUUUCUAAUGCAGCACGUCACUCCUUGAAGAGCAUUGCAAGGUUUGUCAUGUCUUGUCUGCUGUUUGGAAAUUCCCAAUCAAGAUCAAGACCGUCAAGCCCAUACUUUCUAGCUGCAUCUAUGGUAGACUGAGUGACUGCACCGCGAAUUCCUGGAUUGCUUACCAUGUUGUAGAAAGUGCAAGGACUUGCUGCUCCUCCCCUAAUGGACUGGAAGGGUCUUUUGCUGUUGCAUUUCUUCUAUGGAAUGUGGCUGUGAAGUUUCCCAUCCAUUGACCAUCCGGUUGCGUUAUAGAAAGCUGGUAUGUUGUGGCGUCAGGUUCGGCAAAGGCGUAGAAGAGGAGAGUGAAAUACGAAGUUGGUAUGCUUGAUGGAGGAAGCAUCUCUACUAUCUUGAACCUCAAAAAUAUACAUCUUACCCCCUCAAAUCAACAACCCCUGUGCAUAAUUUUCUUCCUAAAUGACCCCGAUUUUCCUAGUUUCUCAACGAUCAACGUUUAGAAUGUUGCAUUUUCCUCUUAUGUGUUCAUCAUAAUAUGUAUAUUAUGAUGUUGGAUUACAGUAUAAAUUAAAAUUUUUUUUUUUUAAAAAAAACUCCCUCUACUUUGGCCUUAUCUCCAUCCUAUUCCACUGUCAUGUCAGUGCUCUUGUGUUGGUCACUACUCUUUUUUCGUUUGACCUAUUUAAAAAAAAAAUAUAUAUAUAUAUAUAUAUAUAUAUAUAUAAUUCUAAUAAAAAUUGCAAUUAUCAGUCUUUUGAAUUAGCUAAAAAUUCAACAUUAAAUCAUGAAAAUUACUUUAAUAUUUUGAAUUCAUUUUUUCACAUUUGAUACUAUGCAAAAUAUAAAUCAAUACACAUUAAUUUUUUUUAACAAACAACGUAACAUGUAACAAAUAAAAAGUCAAGUAAAUUAACAUAACAAAAUCAUAUUUUACUAUGAAUAUAAUAAAUUGCAAAGUAAAGGUACAUUAUUUUAUCACAAUAAACUAUCAUAUUAUUUAUUUUAAAUUAUGAUAUAUACAUACAUAUUAGUCUUAUACUGCACUAUAUAUAAGGCGGGGGGACAAGGAGGCGGAUGUAGUCCCAUUCAAACCGAUGCUAAAUUAUACAUAAGUCUAUGUAAUAAGUUAAUUAAACCACUGCCUAACAUCACAUCAUGCAGUAACAAAAUAUUUCGAUGAAUAUAUAAUAAGAAAACGCAACAAGUUAAAAGUUGAUUAUUAAAAAAGUAGGAAUGUUGAGGCUAAUUUGGGAAGAAAAGUAUGCACAUGAGUUUGUCAAAAUUAAAAGUACAAACAUGAUUCACUUAUGGGAACAAAAUGUAAAUUUUUGAAGCUUAGGGUGGUAAAGUGUUACAACCCCAAAAGCUCAUGAGGGCAAAGUGUUAUUAACCCUUCAAGAUAUUAUAACUUUCCUGAAAUAGAAUUUGAACCCCACUGCUUCCAUAUAAUGGAGUUUGCCAAGAAUAUGAGCCUCAUUGUUUUGGUUCUUUUUGGACAAGCUGCCUUUUCCCAAAGGAAUUUUUUGAUUGUUACAUGCAUAGAAAGACGCUGGUUGAUCUGGUUUUAGACCAAUGUCACAAUCAAAGACCAUUCCACAAAUAAGCUGCCCCCAACCAAGUACGGAUUACUCCGCUCGUUUGACAUUAUUUAUUCAUUAUUAUUAGUCAACACAAGUUGGUUCAGUUGGUAAGAACGGAUUAAUUCUUCACAAAACGUCGUGUAUGAACGAUUUGUAAAAAUCUCUGUAACUUAUGAUUCUGAAAACUUACUCUAACCUCUAGUAGUAAUCGAAGUCGAAUCUAUCCAAAUUUUUUUUCUAUAAAAAAAUCAUUUAUUAUUAUACCAUACGUCAUUCAUUCUUCGUGCCCUUGUACGCCCCAACAUUCAAAACAAGAAAAAAGGGAGACAAGAAAGCUGUUGAUUAUGGGGUCAAACUGUUUGCCAAUUGGCCAGCCUUUGUGUUAUUAAAUGCAUUUUGAAAAAGGUUAUAAGCAUUUCCUUUUCUGGCUAAAUAUGUGUUUUAAGUGUGCAAGUGACUCUAGCAAUUUGAGAAUAAAAGCUGGAAGAUGUCAUUUGGCAAUCAUUCAAACAGGUAAAUGAUCCUAAGUGCAAAAUAACGAUUCUUCUUGUUUUGUUUGACCAUCCACCCAGCCAAAGCUAUUUUCAAUUGAGAUGAAGCAUAAAGCCAUAAAUACGUUGUACGCAAUUUUAAGCGAUUUUGCUGAACUAUGAUUGUUUGCAGAAUUUAUUUUUUAAUUUGUUCUAGGCUGCUCCUUAGAAAUUUAUCAUAGACUUUGUUUUUUUUUUUUUUUUGGGCUCCUGAUUUUUAGAAGGGAAUAUCAGUGUAUAUUAUGGAAAAUAAAUUAGAAAUUAGGACUCACGGUACUAACAAAAUUUUAAAUAAAAGAUCGUUGUUUAUGCUAUAUAUAGUUAUUAUAUUAAAAGCAACCAAAGGGAUCCGUGGCGCAAUGGUAGCGCGUCUGACUCCAGAUCAGAAGGUUGCGUGUUCGAUUCACGUCGGGUUCAAAAUCCCCGAUCCUUGGUCCCUGUCCUUUUCCUCUCUUUUUCCCUUUCGGACACUAAUUGUUUAUUUUAUGCUAGAUAUAUUUAUUAUACUGACAGCAACCAAAGGGAUCCGUGGCGCAAUGGUAGCGCGUCUGACUCCAGAUCAGAAGGUUGCGUGUUCGAUUCACGUCGGGUUCAAAAUCCCCGAUCCUUGAUCCCUCUCUUUUUCCCUUUCGGACGCCAAUUGCUUAUGACAAGCGAAUUGAUUUAUCAAUGAUUUUGGAUUUACCCAAUUGAAGAAUCUGCAAAUCACCUCAAGCCUCUAAAUCAGAGGGCUUAAACUCUUGGAUGACCUUUCUUUUUCUUUUUCUAGACACUUUUUGGAUAAUCUUAUUGGGCGAGAAAAUUUUGAAAGAGAGAUAAAUUUGAGAAGAAUAAAAUGACCAAUUAAACUCGCUUGAAAAAAACGACACCGCUAUUCACCAGUCUGGUAUUGUAUACCAACCCCAUAAUGUUACGGUGCCUUCCAGCAAACAAGAACGAAUACUCAUUCCAUUCAAGUUCGAAAUGCCAAAAGGCAAAAGAAUAAAUGAGCCAAGCAUUUCUAUUUUGAAUGUGACAUUCGGACAGAAUUUGGGUGGGGAGACAUAAGUUGCAUUGUGAGUAAUGUCAGUUUCAGCCUACACUCAGAACAAAAACUUGGUACACAAGCAAUUGGAUCCUCCUUUUUGCACUUUCUACCACCUCAAUACCACAGCAAGUGCUUGUCAUUUGUAGGUUAUGCUGUCAAUCAUUGACAGUGUUGUCAUCCACCUCUGGCUUGACAAAGAACUCGAUAUAAGCAAUGCGACUCGGUUGCUGAUAGCCAGCAUAAUCAACAUGGGAAUGUGAAACAGGGGGUUUUGCAACUGAAACUAAGUGCUGAACUUUUAGCAUUCCACCUCUCCCUAUGGUCAACUUGCUUCCUCGAUUAUCUCUUAUUACACUGCCAGGAAUGUUUGCAGUUGUCGCACGAAGAAAUUUGUAUUUAUACCUUCCACAAAAGCCAGAUUAGAGCAAGUAGCAGAAAUAUGAACUGAUUUCCAAUCAUAAAACCAGUGGUAUUGACUGAAACCUGUAAGAGAUUUGACGAUCACAGCUGAAAGCAAUCAAGAGAUCAGUGUUGGCAUAGUACAUGAAGUCUAUCUGCAAGAAAGAAAAGGGGAAAUCCUGUAAAGCACGGUACACUCUUGCAGUAUACUUGCUCAUAUGGAAACAAGCAAAACCUGUAAAUCGCCAUGGCCUUCACCUCUAAAGGUGACACAUGGAGGAUUUGGCUGAAGAGUUAUCUGAAUGCUUGAUCCUGGCCACUCAAGAUCAUCAAUAGCUUCCUUUAAAGCUGCAGACUACAAAUUGAAAGCCCAGCAUACAGUAAAGAAGUGGUAUAUAGUAUAAAAACAGAAGGUUUUUGGAUCAAUGUUUUAUAGGUUGAAGUUGCAUCCAAACUCUGCCUGAUUUAUCAGAAAAACAUUACUUUGCCAUCAUCUUUAAGAUUUAGAAGCACAUUAAAUUUGUUGGAUUUAUCUGAAUGAAUGAAUGCAGGCAAAAUGAGAUUCUGUUACCGGGAAAAAGAUAUAGCUCUUCAAAUAUAUUAAAUGACAACCCAUAUCAUGAUGAAGAUCUAGCAAUACAAUCAGAGUGCUGGAUAUUGCUCACGCAAAGAUAAAUAUUUAAAAGGGAAAAGGCAAAUUCACUUUAAAAGAAAGAAGUUGGCCUUGCUUGCCCGUAUUUGCACAAUAAAACACUUUCUUAUUGUUAGCUACUCCAUAAGAGUGCUGGUUAAGAGAAGAAAAAAGUACCUUAACAGUGAAAUGGAGAGGAGUGCUUCCAGCAGGUUCAAAGUUGUAGUCCCAAGAGAUCGUGUCAGGGAUCCUUGUUCUGACCUCCGCAUAAAUGCAAGCAUCCAAUGAAUCAACUGACCUGUCCCCCCAAAAACACGCAAGAAAAAAGAGGCAAAACAAAUAAAAGUUUGUUAAAAUUUACCAAGUCAAAGGCAAAUCAAAUUCAGAAGCUUGUUUUGAACCCCAUUCUGUCCCUAUCAGUCAAUUGAAAAGCAGACACUACUGUGACAUCAAAAACCAAACUCAGAAUCCUGGAAAACUCAAUCAUUGCGAAAGUGAGCUGAUUGACAAAGUUGGGCCUCACAUCAUCAAAAACAUGGUAUCAAAUAUCAAAUUUCCAAGCUAUGGGAUGCCUUAAUGCUAAACUGAAGCAUUCACUGGCCAUAGGAGCCAAGUUUUUCUCAUCUUAUCAGUUAUUUACAAAAGCGCAACAAUCAAAAUGUCCUUUAAGCUACGACGGACAUUUUCCUAGACGAAUGUGAAAUUACUCGUGAAGUUCAAGUCGUAUUACUACAUAAAUUUUCAAAAUUAUUAUUCAACCUCUAAUUAUUCACAAUUAUGUAGCCUUAGACACAUUGACCUAAUUUUCAAUGAAUAAUAAUCAGAUAAAAACAAGGACAGCAGAGGAUUACUUGAGAAGAAGUUGCAUAUCAGGCCCCGGAUACCGAAUUUCAAUACUACUUGAAUUUCCUGGAACUGAAAAUGUAUUCAGACAAUCCACAAAAAGCCCUAAACUCACCCCGAAUCGCGGUCUCCCUUCUGCACUAUAUUCGUACUUCACAAAAAGCUACUUAAACAAAAAUAAUAAUAAUAAAGAUUUAAAAUCAAUCCUAAAAUGAAAUAAAGAUAACUUCCAAAAAUUGAGUAAAAAAACUGAAAAUUGGAGUACCUCUUUUUGUAAAUAGACUUUGGCCUGAAGACAACUGGAUUCCUCGACGAUUAAAACGAUGCCGUGUUCUGAUAAUUCCACAACUGCGUCCUAAAUGUAUUGUAUCAUAGGAAACAGAGAGAAAUUAGAAAGUUAAAAUGAAAUGUUUGUAUGGUAAGGUCUUUAGCCAGGAUAAUGAGAGAUUGAGUGAGAAAGAUCAAGAAAAACCUGAUGGCGUUUCCAUCGGACGGAUGUGAGAGCAUCGACAAUGCCUUGAACGUUAUCGAGCUGGCAUACUAGAUCCAGUGCAUCGCCGUCGGCGUCUAUCGCCGAUGAGCUCAUUUUCUGCUGUCAAUGGUUCCCGCCAAAAGUUGGAAAAAUCACAGAAUAUUCGGUUAAAGAGAUAAACUCUAACGCACAGAGAAUAUUCAUUUAUUUAUUUAAGUUUUUUCACUUUUUUUUUUUUGGGAUAAUGUUUUAAGUAAUAUUUUAAUCGGACGGAUGUGAGAGGUACAACAAAUGAGUUUUGUCAAACUAUUAUACUUUAGUAUUCCCACUGUUCAUCCCAUCAAAAUAUUAUUUUUUUAAAAAGAAAUUCGAUUAAAUUAGUUAAAGGGUCAAAAGUUUAAAUUUAUAAUAAUUUAAGAGCCACUGAGACAUUUUUCCAAAUUAAAAUGGCAGAUGACUAUGUUGAUUCAUUUCAAAACAUCAUAACUAGAACGGAUUAAGUCAGUCCAAACUCAUCCUAUGUGAUCCAAAAAAGUUCAUUGAAUCUAAGUUUUAAUUUGGAGUCUGACAAAGUUUUGGUCUAAAUAUUAAAGUCGAACUAAAUGUGAGUCGAGUUUGGGUUAUACUAAAUUUAGGUCCGAUUAAAUUCCAACCUAUAUAUGAAUAUAAGUAUAUAUGUAUAAAAUAUGUACAGUGAUAUCUAUAAUUUAUAAUUAUACAUAUCACGGUAUAAAAUGUUAAUAAUUUUUAUAUAAAUUUGUAUUAAUUCAUAAAUAGAAAAUAUAUUGAAAAAUGUUAUUUGCACUCUCAUUUUUAUUAAUCACACUCUCAUUUUCAUUCUAACUAUAUAGUUUUUAUUUAUUAGAUUAUAUGAUAAAAUAAAAUUAAUCACACUCCUAUUAUCAUUCUAACUAUAUAGUUUUUAUUUAUUAGAUUAUAUGAUAAAACAAAUCGUAGGAGUGCAAAUAACAAAAAAUGAAGUGCAAAUAACAUAUUAUAUAUAUUAUAUCUAAUUAUGUAUUUAAUUAUGCAUUUGGACUAGAUCUAAUUUGAGUUCGAAACUCAUAUACUAGUGCGAGGUGAUCUUGAUUCUUUCAAUAUGAGUCCGAAAUCCCAAAAGAUUGAAAUCCAAAAAUUCAUAUAAUUUGUAAGUUGAACUUGAGUUUAUUAAACCCCAACUCAAAAAACCUAAUUAACACCCCUAAUCAUAACCAAAGGCAAAUAGAAAAUUAGUCACAACUACUAUUUGAGCAGUUCUCUUCCAAAUAAAAAAGGAAAAAAUGUAUGCAAUUAUGGCGAUUUGCAAUAAUUAUAUUUUAAAGUGGACAUACUUUUCUUUUUAUCUUAUGCCUAGAGGGAAAGGGAUAAAAAAAACAAGGCCAUAAACAGCAAAACCACACAAGAACAGGGGCAAACGUGUCCUUUCACAACAACCGUUGCGGUCACGUCAGUCGCGUCGCAACAAACUCAUCCCCAGCUCCCUCCCCCACAACCCCCCGCCCCCUCCCCCGGCCUCAGUCUGUCAAUGAUUCAAUGCCCGUUUCCUCCUGUCGUCUCUUUUUGCCUCUCCGCACUAAGACACACGCUGACCCAUACAAAUGGCUGCGUUUUUCUAGGGUUUUUCUAUAAUACACCAAGAAAUAGUCCAAAAACCCUUAAAUCUAUCCAUUUUUGUCUUAAAAUUUUCACCUUUUAAUCAUUGACUGAAUCUGCAAAAUACUUGGCUGCUUGAUGAUUAUCGUUUUUGCGGCGGGAACUUAUUUCUGUUAUUAAUGGAGGCAUCGCAGUCGGACGGCGGCAGAGGGAAGGCGGCUUCUACGGCUGCCGAUGGUGGAGGAGGUGGUCCUUCUCCUGCGCCUGCGCCGAUGCCGAAUGCUAAUGCACCGCCACCGUUCCUGGUGAAGACGUAUGACAUGGUGGAUGACCCGAGCACGGAUAAGAUCGUCUCGUGGAGCGCUACGAACAAUAGCUUCGUGGUUUGGGACCCGCCGGAAUUUGCUCGUGACCUCUUGCCGAAGUAUUUCAAGCAUAACAACUUCUCCAGCUUCGUUCGCCAGUUAAACACUUAUGUAUGCAUUUUUCUGUAUCGUGUUUUCUUUUUGCUUUUUCCCCUCCCGGUUGCGUGGUAUUCUGUGCUAUGUGCAUAAUUGAAGUAGGAAUUUUGCUUUGUUAUCUUUUAGAGUGAAUUUCUGAUCAUUUGUGCUAUUCGGGGUUUGAAGGUUUUUGCAUGUUGGGAUUUUAGUUGAAUGUUUGGGGAUCUAUGUUCGUCUGUCGUGACAAGUUUUUCUGAUUGCAUAUUAUUGGCAGUUGAUGAUUUGUAAUGCAGAUUGCUGGUUCAACUACACUUUCCAUCCUCAUAGAUGUAAAUAUGAAAGGGGACUUCGUAGGUUUUUACAUUUUUUUAGAAAAAAAGGCUGUGAAAUUUAUUAUAGUGAUUGAGGCUGUUAAAUUUUUUGAAAAGGAGUCUGGAGAAACAUUGUUUGCUCUUGGUGAAGGUGGUUCAAGGUUUGAUAGAUGUGGAAUAAAUGAAUGACCAAAAAGCUUUUGGCUGCUUCUAUGCUGCAGAAACAAGGAUUACAGGAAAUUGUUCAUUGUCGGAUAGGAAAGUAAUGAUUAAUAAUUUCCCAUAAUGAGAAUAUGAUUUUGGUUAAUUUCUGUUUUUCGUGAUUGGUAGCAUUCAACAAAUUGGUAUGGUCUCCUUAUCCGACAAUAUGGAUAAACGACAAAUUGAAAGAGAUUGAAGCCAUAAUGUGUAUGUUUCCCUAAGUGGAAGUCGUGCUCACAGGGCUUGAGUAGGAGUUGGAGUAGCUGAGAUGUCUGUCCAGUCAACCCUUUUCAGAUUACGUUAGUUGUCUGGCUUAGUUGUCUUCAAUGUUGUAGUUUGAUUGGGAUCUUUCUGGUGGCUUUCUUUGAACUUUAUUUUGGAUAUACCCACUUUUAUUGUUUUCCUUUCUACUCAUAUUCUCUUAUACUGAGUUUCUCAGCAACAAAGAAGUUUCUUAUCAACAUUGGUAUGGUCGGCUAACGCCCAUUUCUCCUUAUCCGACAAUAUGGAUAAACGACAAUAUAGAUAAAUGACAAAUUGAAAGAGAUUGAAGCCAUAAUGUGUAUGUUUCCCUAAGUAGAAGUCGCUGUUCACAGGGCUUGAGUAGGAGUUGGAGUAGCUGAGAUGUCUGUCCAGUCAAUACUUUUUGGAUUACGUUAGUUGUCUGGCUUAGUCUUCUUCAAUGUUGUAGUUUGAUUUGGGUCUUUCUGGUGGCUUUCUUUGAACUUUAUUUUGGAUAUACCCACUUUUAUUGUUUUCCUUUCUACUCAUAUUCUCUUAUACUGAGUUUCUCGGCAACAAAGAAGUUUCUUAGCAACAUUGGUAUGGUCAGCUAACGCCCAUUUCUCCUUUUCCGACAAUAUAGAUAAACAACAAAUUGAAAGAGAUUGAAGCCACAAUGUGUAUAUUUCCCUAAUUGAAGCCAUAAUGUGUAUAUUUCCCUAAGUGGAAGUCAUGUUCAUUGGACUUGAGUAGGGGUUGGAGCAGCUAAGAUGUCUGUCCAGUCAACGCUUUUCGGAUUACGUUAGUUGUCUUCAAUGUUGUAGUUUGAUUGGAUCUUUCUGGUGGCUUUCUUUGAACUUUAUUUUGGAUAUACCCACUUUUAUUGUUUUCCUUUCUACUCAUAUUCUCUUAUACUGAGAUUCUCAGCAACAAAGAAGUUGGUAUUACGGAAUUUCUGCUCUUUUGUCUCUUUCUGGGGAAGAUUCUUGCCAAACUGAUCUGAUGAAUUUGAUUUUGUCCCAAAUGAAUCUUCAACUAGAAGCAUUUAGAGUGCUUCCUUACUUAUAAUAGAAGUAUUUUUGGUAACUACUCCUACUUACAAGGAUUUAGUACGGUUAGGUUGUGACAAUAUUUGUAAUAUAUCCGUGCUCAGUCAUUAAUGUAUGGAAAGAAUUUCAUGAUCUUAUAAUUUUACCCUACAACUAAUCCUGCCCGCAUAAAAUGACUUUCCGAACCUACUCAUUCUACUUAUUUUAAACCUAAGGUUCUUUUAUAUUUCCUUCCUUUAAUGAUUUUGUUGUCUCAUCAUGUUGAGCGUUCUAAGCAACUUCCACUUUUCCGAUCUUCCUGACCUGCAGCCUUCUGACUCGAGAAAAGAGAAAUUAGAGAAGUGCAGAUAACAGAUAAAGAAGCAAAAUCUCCUAGAUUGCGAUAUUUUAUCAGAAUUGAUAAAUUCUUUUCUAAAUCAGCCUAAUUCACUUCUGGCAUAGGCUUCUUUUAAGGAAGAGAUGGAUCGAAGAGACUGAUUUUCAAGUAAAUGUAUCAAUUUCCUAUACCAUUUAGCAUUUCGUCUGAUCAAAUUCUGCAAUUUCAGUCAUGCUUGCUUUUUUGUUGGCUCCCCUUCAUAUCUUUGAAUGACCCUCAGUCAGCUGUUUCAUUCUUUCUCGUAUAAUUGAUUGAUUUAACUCUAAUCAUGUAAUAAACUGUUUCAACCUUGUUUUCCUUCUGUGAUUGUUAGUUUGUACAUUGAUGUGUCUUUUAACUAGUAAAAGUAAAGGACAGUGCGUUACAAUCCCAAAUGGAAGUGACGCAUGCUGUUUUAGUAGAGGAGAUUUUGCUUUGACUAGGAAUGUUUGCUGCAUAAUUGGAAGUCACUGUUGCAUAAUGAAUAUUGUAAAAUAAUUUGACAAUCACUGUCAGGUAAUGUUUGACUGAUGGCAGUCAUGCUUUUUCUUCCCAUGACGAUGGAAAUUUGAUGAAGAUGAAAUUGACAUUAGUAUCAAAGUAGAUUCAUAAAUUGUGCUGCAUAAGAUAGUUUAAUACGGCAAAAAGCUCGCGCUCAGUAAUGUGUGACUUGAUUGCAGUUUAAUAAAGCUUGCAUGGUUUGCUGGUUUAGCUCUUCUUUUUCUGGCACGAGUGAAUGAGAUGGAGCGUGUUUAGGAUACAUUCUUGGCUGACUUACUAAAGCAAAAGAGGAGUAAAAAAGAAAGAUUGGAAAUGAAUGGAUGACUUUCUUGUCCAGUUAGAUCUUGGGUUGUAUUGUGGGCAACAGAAAAUGUUCAUGGAUCUCUUUCGAGUUGAAUUGAAUUGCAAUUACAAAAAUGGAGAGGCACAAUGUAAAUACGUAUAAAGUGUAGGAACCUUUUCUGUCGAUAAAGAAGUGAUAUGAGGGGUUGAGUUGUAUAAGUAAGUUCCUGUUUCAAGUUGGUCAAUUUUGUAAAGAGAAUUUAGUAGCUUAAGGUUCCAGCAUAGGAAGUUGUCAAUGCCAACUAUAUCAACUUGAUCAAUUUGGCCAAGAGUUUGCGGUAGCUAAAGUUACGGGUGCCCAUUCUGAAAAGAUAAUUUGUUAGAUUCACAAGGCUGAUCAUUUUUUAUUCAGUUUGUAAAGGUGAAUGAUUUCUUUUUCCAUUUUCUAAAAUUGUAUUUGACUUCCAGUCCACAUAUGCAAAGGUUGGUGUUUCGUCUAUUUUGGAUCUUGUCUGAUAAUUUUGGUCGACUAGGAUGGAAGGGUAGUAGUUCUUGCCAUCUAACAGUUGUCAAGGUGGGAUUGGCAGAUUGCAUUAUCGGAUCUGUUUACCUCUCUUUCUUUGGUGGUAUCUUCUAUUGGUUAAAUACAGUUUGUCUCUGAUUGUGAACUUGUUAUUAUCAAUGCCAGUACGUCUAACUGUUUGUGAUUGUGGCCCCCUUGGACAAUCAGGGAUUUAGAAAGGUUGAUCCAGAUCGCUGGGAGUUUGCAAACGAGGGAUUCUUAAGAGGUCAAAAGCACCUACUUAAAAGUAUUAGUCGUCGAAAACCUGCCCAUGGACACCCUCAGCCACAACAGCAACCUCAUGCACAGAGUCCAUCAGUUGGCCCAUGUGUUGAGGUUGGAAAAUUUGGGCUUGAAGAGGAGGUUGAGAGGCUAAAAAGAGACAAGAAUGUGCUUAUGCAGGAACUUGUACGGUUGAGGCAACAACAACAAACCACCGAUGGUCAGUUGCAAGCAAUGGUGCAGCGCCUCCAGGGUAUGGAACAGCGGCAACAACAGAUGAUGUCUUUCCUGGCAAAAGCUGUGAACAGCCCUGGAUUUUUGGCACAGUUUGUACAGCAGCAAAGUGAUAGCGGCAGGCGCAUCACUGAAGGCAGCAAAAAGCGGAGGCUUAAACAGGAUGGUCUUUCAGACGAUCAUUCUGUUGGUCCUACUGAUGGACAGAUUGUCAAGUAUCAGCCUAUGAUGAAUGAGGCAGCUAAAGCAAUGCUCAGGCAGCUAAUGAAAGUCGAUGCUUCGCCUAGAUUAGAGAAUUUCAGCAACAGUUCUGAUAAUUUCUUGCUCAGUGAUGGCUCGACACAGUCUACGGCAAUGGAUUGUGGGAAUUCUUCCAAUCGUGUUUCAGGAGUGACUCUUCAGGAGGUCACACCAUCUGCUGGGCAGCCUUUUGUGCCAGCAGCAUCAUCAGUAAUAGGUCAAAGUGCUUCCGCUGCCAUUUCUGAUAGUCAUUCAUCCACUCUUGGUGCAACUUCAGAUUUGAAUGGUAUGGUUGGAGCGCAAGACUUGCAUCCCUUAACACUCCCGUCACCAGAUACGAUCAUGCCUGAGCUUUCUCAACUACAGGACAUUGGUCAAGAAAGUAAUGUUGAUAUAUUAGGGACUGAAACAGAGAAUGGUGCUUUCAUGGACGCAACGUCACUGGCAGCAAACGGCAAACUUGCCUUGGAUAUUGAUGAUGAACAGAUUGAAUGGGACAGUUCAUUGCUUGAUGACAUGGAAGAUCUUCCUGGCUCUAUUGACCCCUUCUGGGAAAAGUUUCUCCAGAGUCCCCAGCAAACGAUUGAGACUGAGGACUUGAACUCGAAUCAAAUGGAAGACCUUUCCAAGGGAAGUCAAAUAAAACCGGUUGAUAAUGGAUGGAACAGGACUCAGCACAUGGAACAGCUGACUGAGCAGAUGGGACUUCUCACAUCUGAAGGCAAAAAAGUUUGAUCUUCUUUAUGAUAUAUGUACAUUUCUUGCUAUCUCAAGUAUAUUGUGAAGAUUGAUAUUAAUCUGUCUGAUCAUUAUGUGUCUAUUAAGUCCCUAAAAGAGCAGUUAAUACCUCAUUUGGUUUUGACCCUGUAUGCCUUUACUUGUAUGGAUGAACCGUUUUACCAUCUGGUUCUUACCAUUGGCUUUUACUUGCAUAUCACCCUUAAGGUGCUUACUUUUUGUACCCUCUGUUUUCUUGGUGCCAAAGUUGGAAUGACUCGAAGGGGCAAGCAGUAUCAGAGCUUCAACUUUGCGUCAAAACUUAUCUUUUCUUCUUCCUUGUUGACCUUUAUGCCGAAUGGUUUGAAGUGUGUAAAUUUUUGGAUAUUUUGAACUGUAUAGUUUAAAAACUUUUGAAAUUUUUUUUAACGUUAUUGUAGAUAAAGUUGUUAAAAAACUCAUAGUAGAUAAACUUGGCGAAAAACUUGUUUGCCAAAUAGGCUAAAUUUAAUUAAACUUUUUUACCCUAAAAUAAAUGUUUAAUGGACUCAUCGAUACGAUACGUAGUCGUAUUAAAAUUAUAAGAGUAUUCGACAAAAGUAUCAAACAAUCAUCUAUUUUUAAAGAAAAGGUAUGUUAAUGUAAUUGCCUGUUGAAACUAACACUAGUUAUGCGGUAGCAAUAUUUUUAGUUAGCUAUAUCCGUUUUUUUCCCUUUUUUUUUGCUUUUUUUUUUCUCUUUCAAUUUAUAAAAUUUUUGUGGGUUGGAUUUCUACAUUUACUUAAACAGCUCGAGUCACCAAAGACUUGAAAAUCCAAAAGCUUGCAAUCAGUCCAGGGUCAUAUAUUAAGUUCUUGAAACUGACAUUGCAAUUCCUAAAUCAGAUGUUGGUAACAAAAUUGAAGAAAAGAAAUGCAACAAAGCAUUCCUAAAAUCACUACUUUAUUAUUGUCAUGCGUUGAUUAUCACUUUAGUUUCGGACGUGAUAAGAAAAUUUUUUAUUCACAUGUGCAGUUCAAUCCCCAACUUUAGGCUGUAGUUAGAAACUGCCUUUCAGGGCAGAAAGCACAUUCUAUUUGGAGUGAGUGGACUACAUGCUUAAUUAAUCAACAACCAUGCUACUAAAUUAUCCUUCUGAUUCUAAAAUUUUUUUUUUAUACCAUCACAACAAAUGUACACAUGGCAGAUUUCAACUCACUGUAAUCCCUAACUCAACUCAUAGCCAGAAGUAGGAGUCUGACGUAACCACAAAAACCUCACCUGCCCUUGAUUAUAGAUCCUUACUUCCAUAUGUCAACUUCCCAAGGGUCUUAGGCCAAGCACGUUCAAGCCCAUAAGCACCAUGCAACGUAUAAAGAAGACUUAGUUUGAUAGACUUGCAAGUCAUUCUUGUAUUUCUACAGCUGUUUACAUAUGACACUGGUGAGGGAGAGAAAGGAAAAGCAGGCCCUGAGGCUCACUGUACCCCCAGUUUCUAGUUCUUGGCAUGGGUUUCUAUCACCAUCACCAAUAUCAUCCUCAAGCUCAAACUCUCCGACCAUCACUAACCUCGCCGAUUUCGAGAAACUUGCUGUUCUUGGACAUGGCAAUGGAGGAACAGUCUAUAAAGUUUUCCACAAGCCAACAGGUGCAAUUUAUGCAUUGAAAGUACUCAGGUUUGGCGAAGAUAUCGAAAGGGUUCAGCAGCAGUCUUUGAACGAGAUGGGGAUACUCAGAAGAUUGGACUCAGAUUGUGUUGUAAUGUGUCAUGGGGUGUUUGAGAAUGGAUUUGCCGACAUAGAUGGAGGUGGUGAUCUAUGCUUUGUUAUGGAGUACAUGGAAGGAGGAUCACUCUAUGACCUCUUGCAGAAGCAUCAUAGGUUAUCUGAGGAAGCUAUUUCUGGCAUUGCCAGAAGUGUCUUGGAAGGACUGCACUAUUUGCAUUCAAUGCAUAUUGUUCACAGAGAUAUUAAGCCAUCAAAUUUGUUGAUAAACAGAAAAGGAAAGAUGAAGAUUGCAGAUUUUGGCAUCAGCCGACUUGUGGCAGGUUCUGAUAAACAGCAGUGCGAUUCAUACAUGGGUACUUACGCAUACAUGAGUCCGGAGAGAAUUGAUCCAGAAAGGUGGGAUGGAGUUUACUCUGAUGGAUUUGCUGGGGAUGUAUGGUCCCUGGGAGUGGUAAUAAUGGAAUGCUUCACAGGUCGUUUUCCUUUGAUUAAUCCUGGGGAGAAACCAGACUGGAUCACUCUCAUGUACGCAAUUUGUUUUGAAGAAACAUGGGAAAUGCCAGAAACUGCAUCAGCUGAGCUUCAGAACUUUGUAAGGAGGUGCUUGGUGAGGGAUUGGAGGAGUAGAGGAACUGUGGAGGAACUACUCUCUCACCCUUUUUCGACUAAAUUUCAGCAUGUUGCUCCCCAGAACCUGCUCUGUUACUCUUCUUGUGUCUGAAUGAUACUCCUAUCAGUGAGAUUUUGAUUAAUUGCAAGCACAGGAAAGGCAUUAGACGUUUGGAAACUAUGAGUAAUUUGAUGAUAUUCUUAUUGAUCCAAGGGGCAUAGCAAUACGCUGUCCAGUUACUGGGAAAAUCGAAGUGCUAUAGAGCUCCGACCACCUUAUUGGACCAUGCAUACACGUCCAUGUUUUAGACUAGGUUUCUAUAUAUCCUUUCUAACCUUUUUCACUCUUCCUUUUUGUUAAACCAAAAAGGAAAAGAAAAAAAAAAUGCUGUACACAGGGAAAAGGGAAAAAGGGUAAAAUAAAAGCAAGGCUUGCUAUUUACUAGAACUCUCUCUUCAUCUAUAUGCAAAUUCAAACUCACUACAUGGGUUAGGGGGGGUGGCGAAGGAUGCAACUGGCUCAACCAAUGCAGUUAUUGUGUCAUAGUUGGAAGCAAAAGAGCUAAAACAUGGAGUUCUCUACUCUUAACAGAAUCUUCAAAACAAGGCCUGGGAGACUAUAAUAUUUGAAGAAGCAAGAUUUGAUAAUAGAAGUAUCAAAGUUUCACCAGGCGUUUAUUUCCAACAUUCCUAGCUAGUCCUAUUAGCAACUGAAUGGCUGUAUUCAACAAGAAAGUGUUGACACUUUCUAAGCAGCUAUCACUGGACAAAGCACCAAUGGCUGCUCUAAACUAGCAAGUUUACUGUUGCAGAAAUUUAGAGUACAUCAAGAACAGAUACAGAGCAGACCAUGACAAACUUCAAGUAGAACGGCAUAUCCAGGCAUCUUGGUCCCUCUUAAGCCAGUACUCUAGCUCAAGCUAUUAUAGAAGGCAUGAAUCAGUUCAAGAAACUUGACGGUCACCUCUCGCUGGCUCAUGGUAAUUUCUUUAUUAAGGAUAUACAAAUCAGUUUUUCGGGGCCAAGUUAUGAUGCUUCGUAAUUCCAAAACGCUUCUGUAGAAGCCCACCUGUAUAAACACGAGAGUUAACAUGGCCAAGAGGGAAAUUUCAUGCAAGUUGGAAGAAGACUAGUUGGUGUUACAAAUAGCAGGAUACAGUUCGAGAAGCUACAAGCCUAUAACGCCCAGGAAAUGCUUGGUGUUACAAAAGCAGGAUACAUUCUGAGAAGCCACAAGCCUACACCACCUCCACUACCCGCAAUCCCAACUCCAAAUGCACGUGCAAACCAGACGAGAAAAAGUUGCUAUCUAAAACGAAAUGAAGAAUUAAGUCCAAAUGACCUUUUUGGUUUUGGACACGACUCCGAUUUUGCAUUCCAGAUGCUUAAGAUAUAAUAAAAGACUAAUUCCACUAUAUAACAUUCAAUGUCUUCACCAAUUCUCACUUUGGACCUCAAACUUUUACUAAAAACACAUUAAUAGAGCUACAAACCUGUCCCAGAUCACCAAAACCAGUUACACUGUCAACAGAAAUGGAAGAAAAAUAGGCUAAGCGCACACCAUGUUAUUCUUCCUCUGACUUGGCAGUUAUUGUUAAGCUAUCAAAUAUGCAUGAAAAGUAUGCAUUAGUCAACAAUCUCAGGAAUUGGAUAACUUGGUAUGUUUUACCAUGCCAUUUACUCCAUCAAUAAAUUAUACUGCUUUAUACGUUAAAAAAGUUGAAAAAUAAGAACAGCAACUAACUGAGACGUCCUACAAACAAAACCAGUGUGCUUUAUAUUUGACAAGAUCUCCCAGAAAUGCGCAUUUGACACUCUGCAAAUUAAUAAUUUAUUCUCUACAAUUGCCACGAAUAGCAUAUAUGAAGACCUCUAGUUCAAAGAAUGCCUAAGGUGUUCUAAACAUAAACCACAAAACAAAGAGUAAUAAAGUUCAAAUGACUAGCCUUUUCAUUUAAAGUUGCCAUGAGCUCAAAUAAUACUAAACCCUUCCCAUGUGGAUUAGCUUGAUGCUAGAGGUGGCAAUUUGUCCCAAAUCCCAAUGGGUUACCCAUGCCCAUAGGGACUUUGGGCGGGAUGGGUACCGGAAUUUGAUAUUGGGUUUAAAAUGGGACAAAUCUCAAUUAUACCCAUUAAUUGAUGGAAAAUUUUGGGAAAUACUUGGGUACCCAUUGGGCUCAAAUAGCAAGGGCUCUGUUUGGAUUGGCUAAUUUUUUGGAUAUUUUUGAAAUAUUUUAUUGUCGCAGAGUAUAUGAAAAAUUUUUACUAUAAAUUUUUUUUGAAAUAUUUGAUAUACUAAUAUGGAUGAGAUAUUUUUUGAGUUAUUGUAUGUUACUGUAACAUUAUAUUUGAAAAUUUUGUUUUUUGAAAAUAUAGCCAAUCCAAACGGAGUCUUAGAUUCAAAAAUUAUCUUUAACAAUUUUUAUAGUCAUACCAGCGAAUAUAAUCUAGCAGCCUUCCUAAUCAUUAUCCACAAGAAUUUCCAGCAUUUCAGUCAGUUUAGACCUGUCAUCUUUGGACAAUGAUGAGGAUAAAUAUUCAACACCCUAAGUGCCUUGGCCAUCUUGAUAUAUGUUGGAAUAUGGCUGUAUUAUAUCUAUAUUUUCCUUUAUUUGUUAAUCCAAUUUUUGGUGGGAAUCCUGAGUAUAAAGCACUUGCAUGUUUAUUUAAUAAAACUAAAAGAAAUUUAAUAAAUCAAAACAAUUAAAGUUAUAUAAAAAAUAAAAAAUGAAUUAAAGGAAAAUAUAUAUAUAGAAAAUAGAUUUGGGUAUUGGGCGGGAUCAAUCUAAACCCAUCCCAAAGUGAUCCCAUCCAAGCUAGUCCCAAAACACAUAUGGGUAAGGAUGGGUCCAAACCCAUAUGACUCGAUUCCAUCUUAAACCCAAGCAAAUCCCGCCCAUCCCGCCCAUUUUGCCACCUCUAACUUGAUGCUUUUGAACUGAGUUACAGAUUUGUGUUGACAUUGUCAUCUAAAAAUGCGUUGAUAACAGAGACAAAAUUGAAUUGUCGCGCAUCAGAUGUAGAGUACCUUCCCUUUCCCUAUACACUGCAUCAACUAGUAACCAAACAUUUCACACAGCCAAAUUCACUGACAGAUCCUGGGCUCAAGAAACUGGCCAAACAUGCCAAUAUAUAGGAGGGGGAAUAAAGAAGAAAACAGGAGAAUUAGACAUUAAAAUGAUGCUUCUACCUAUGUAUUUGCCUACAUAAUCAGAAUUCACAAAUGAGUCAACAGAUGACAGCAGCAGGGAUUGUUAAAAUAGGGAAAAAAAGAAAAAAAAAUGUAGCACCAAUUAGUAAUUAAUUGGUGAGCCAAAACCAAACAGUUCUACAAGGAACUGACGAAAAACUAGUCCGUAUGAAGUUGAGGUCUAUUGUGCAUGGCUGGCCCUCCAGCCUGAGAAUUGCUAAAUUCUGGGUAAAAGGCCUUCAAUGCAGAAACAGGGCCAUUGAAACAAAGUACAGUAGUUGGGAGUUGAGGAAAAACUAAAUUACAGGAUGAGGCAUUAACUAAACUUUGAAAUGUCUUGGGCAUAAAAUUCAUAUAUUUAACAGUGAAUAACAUUAUUAUGGCCAGUAUUUCUAUCCAAACAACUAUCAAAAUAUAUCAUUAAAGUCUCAAACUACAAAUUCUCUCAAGGAACUAGUGAAGAUCCUUUGACUUGCAUUUGCAUAGAGGUCAGUUAUAGUUCAGCACAAUUUUAACUCGCAUGAUCUAGUGGACCAUAACAUUCAGAUCAUGUUAAAAGCAGAUAUAAGAAACAACCAAAACAACUAACCUGGUCUUGAAAUAAGAUUAAUACGAGAUCGGGGUCCCUCAAACAUCCAGCUAUCCUCAUCAAGGGAUUUAACCUCUUUGUUCAAAGCAGCCAUCAGGUCAGCUUUCAGAACUGCAUAAAUAAGAUAAGAACCCUUCAGAAAGUUGAUGCAAGUUUCUUGGUUUAAACAAGCCACUACUAAUCAAAGGUUCAGAAAAGCAUUUCAUAUUCUGGUAAUUCUUUUCAAGCGAAACCUUGCACAAAUCACCACUAUAAUAAUGGGACUUACCUAAAUCCCAUGUGCAUACAACAGCUUAGAAGAUAAGAGAGGAGAUAAGUAGGUCUUCACAGAGAAAGAAGCUUAUGCUUCUGCUAUCUGUGAAGUCUGAGGGAUCUUGGUCAUACUGAAGCCAAAUAUCAGGAACUGAUUCACCUCAUUAAAAACUCUAUCUCAAGCAAUACUGGUCUCCAUCAUCUCUUAAGAGUGAGAGUUUUCCUAUUUCUUGUAUUCAUUCAUGUAGUGGUAGGAUUUCUCUUCUUGCGUAAACAGAGUAUUUCUCCAGCAUUUUUUGACAAAAGAUAACUUUCUGAGGUGGUCCAAUGCUUUUAUCCACCGGGAAUUUCCACGUUAAAUCUUUUCUUCUCUUAUGUAUGAGAUACAAAAUGCUGAGGCCUUAUUAAAAAUACCAUUGGACACAAGCUCUUUAAUGUCAAAGCCUAAUUUGCUACCAAAGGUCCGAAACUGGAGGGUUUCUCAAAUUUUUCCUUCAAGCUAAAUUGGAUCGCGUGGCUCAUUGUUCAACAUUUAGCACAAAAUAAUGUACCUAAAUUUGAAUAAAUUACCAAAGUUUUCCACAAAUUCAAAAAAAGAAAUUGCUCCAACCGGGUUUGAGUAUGCCCCCAAAUCGCACUUCAAACACUACUCCUAAAAGACUGAUAUUUAAAUGAACCCAAAUUUUGUGCACCAUAAAUUAUGCACACAAUACAGCAAAAAUUUACAGUCCUUUUAGUUAUUUAAUAAAAAAAAAAAGUCACAUGGAUCCAAUGUUGUUGUCUAAAACUAGUACAAGCUAGAGAAGCAGAUAAUUAUCAUCAGUGCAGUGGGAAAAAAAAAAUAGAGACUGACCAAGAAGGGCCUCGUCUUUGCGGUCCUGAAUUGAAAUGAGAUCCGCCGGAAAGUGGUAGUCCUCGACGGAUAGAGAUGACCCUCCGACCACCGCAUUUGCACUCCCAGCCACCGCCGUCGUAGAUAUCGAUGACCUCGCCGGCGAUGACGACAGCGAACUAUUACUCAUCUCCAAUUCCCCUCUUCCUUUUUACCCCCCCAAUUCUACUAUUCAAAAAGUUGAAGAAACCGGCUUUUCAAACUAAUACUAAACCUGAUACGACGUCGUAGCACCGUUUAAUUCGUCAAAUCACAGCCGUUGAUAGACUCAAUCUGAGAUAUAUUGAAAAGCAUCCAAAUCGAUCCGAUUUCAUAUUGUUGAAAUGCGUAUAUGAAUGCAAAAAAUACGUAAAGAAUACUGACUACAUCUACACGUAUAUAUCCUAGAUUUUCCUUUUCUAAUUUUGAGAUUUGGUCAAGCUUUGAUUAUACAUUGAAAUGGAGAUUCAAGAUUUCCAAUUUCAGAGCUGCUUCAGACUUGGAAUAUUCAUCUUCAUCUUCCUCCUGCCCAGUUUUAGCCUGGUCAGUUCAGCCCAAAGGCUUCAUUUUCCUUCUUUUAUUUCAUUUUUACUUUUUAUUUUCUUCUUUGCGGUGCAAAAUUAUGGAUAUUAAGCUUCAAUUUUUGUAAAAUUUAUAGCUCAGAAUUUUUUUAUAUUUCGUGGGUUUUGAUUUUAGGGUCUUGAGGAGUACAUUUCAGCACAGUAUUUCAAGAAACAUGAAAUUUUGGACGAUUCAAAGUUCAAUAGCUUCCUAAAGACUGAUGUUUCACUAAGUUCUUGCCAGAUGCUGCAACCUGAACUGAAUAAUAAGGAGCCAAAAAUGUUAGCUUUACACAGGAAUUUGAUUGGGGAAGGUUCACAUCGUCGUUUAUCUUCAUCCGUUAGGUUAGAAAUCCAAGUAUCUGCACAAUCUUGUCAAGCCAUUGUGAUAGAAAGACUGCCCUCUGGAGUUUUUGCAGAUCCUUUUGAGUUGCAACAUCUUGUCCAGAGGAAAGGUAUAAGAUCCAUAGUUCUGAUCUUUUUCUUUUUUUCUUUUUUUUUUGAAGAUUUUAUGUGUACAAAUGGCUCUAUGUUUUCUGGGGUGGUGGUUGUUUUAGUACGUUGGUAUCAUUGGUUGCAGUGUUCAGCAAUGCUGCUGUGUUUGGGGAUACAAAUCUAGAGUUGCCUUCAUUUCGGUCCAAUAGGUCAUUAGUUGAAGUUCAUGUGCGGAUUGAUCCUGGCAUGUUUUCUGGAGAUCAUAAGCAGCUAGAAAUCAACAUUGAGCUCCCAUUGCAUGCGCGUUAUCAGGUAUGCAAUUCUGGACGCUAUCACCUUAUGGAGACUGUUGAUUUCCCUUGGAGUUCGUUAGAAUGAUGAACAUCUUGUUAGUUUUUGGAUACAAGCAAGUGCACGAACUGUAUAAGAGUAAGGGCAAUUUGUGGAAAACUAACUCUCAUUGUUUAAUCUUUCUACAGCCAUUAGGUUAUGGCAUUUCGAGAGUUGAAUUCGGCCUGCCGGACAUAGUUUUCAGUUGCAGAAAUGAAGGAAAUUUGCAUGAGAAGAGCUGUUUGCUUGUUCCGACUGAUCAAGGUGUCAAGGAUGAAGAUGGCAAUAUAGUAUGGGAAGUGCCUUGUGGAAACAAGGAGCACGCAAAAAUUGUGUCAUUUGUGACAUUCAUAUCAGCAAUUUUGUCAGCUUUGUUAAUUGUCUGGACUUCUGUUUCUUCUUCAAAUAUUGCAUUCACAGCUGACCUGAAACAAUCUUGAUAUAUUUAGAUUGUUUCUAAUCAUCCGUGAUUUUGCCAAAAGAAGUUCAGAGCUUAAAGAGAAAAACUUCCCAGCCUUGGCUAUGCACUUAUAUGUCGACUGCACUUCAACCACCACACCUUUCAGUUCGACAAUAAUGCUUCGGGAAAUGCUUCUCACAUUUUGGUCUCCAAAAUUUUAAGGUACUUGUACUCCGGAAGAACUGUGUUCUCCUCUCUUCUUGCCCAACUCUCAGGCACCUGGCGGAAUUUUGAGUGUACUUCUGAGGAAUGUAAACGCUGAACAUGGUUGAGAUUGUUGUGUAGGAUACUGUCUUCGUAGAUGGGUUAGAUACUUGAGUCCGCAAACAAAUCAGGUUGUUUAAUCGAUGCUUCCUGAAGUACCUGUGCUGAUCAUAUCAUGCAGAUUUCAGACACAUCUAUUUGAAAGCCUCGGUGCUUCAGCUUUUACCAUUGGAGAUGUUGCCGAUACUAAAUGAUGGGCCAACUUUUGUUAUUUCCAAAAAAUCAAUAUACAUAUGGAAUGUAGCAUUAUAAAAAGAUUUCUUAGAAGACUACAAGAGGUGAGGAAUCCAGAUGAUAAUUACACUCCAUAUCAAAUAGUAAAUUAUUUGUAAUCUGCAUCAAUUUCAAAAUCUUUGAAGAAAUUACCAUCAUCAGAAGGUAGUCAUAUUCUGCAUCAAAAAAUAACUUGGCCUCCCAAGAACCUGGACAUCAAUUCAAGUUCCUAUCAUCCAUUGCCAUAAUUUCAUUCUCAAAAAGUUCCCUACCAUAUGCCAGUACGGCACCUAGCAAAGCCUAAAACAUUCUCAUGAACCAAGAGUUAGUGCUUUUAUGUACAUUCACUGACAGAAAAAGUGUGCACUAAAAUUGGGCAUGAACUUUUAGCAUCACUAUAAGAGCAAAUACUCAUUUGUUGACUCAGUGCCAAUUAAGGACACGAGACAGGCUAAGGGAUACCAUCAGUAGAUUGUCCAACGAGAUGUUCACAAGAUGAAACAUGAAAGGCUCCGCCAAGCAAUAGUCCUUAUGAUCUCCAGACCCAAAAACAAACCAGUAGAGUCAAUGAGUAGCAUAAAAUCCCACACAAACAGAUUGAUAAUCAUUCAACAGAAAAAUCAAUUAUAUUUGCAAGACUAAUUAUAUGACAAGCAAAGGAAAACCUCGAACCCAAACCUGCCAAUUACAAAAUACAACACCAAUCCCCACCCAAAAAAUAAAAACUUAAUAUGGCAAUGGAGGUCAUAAAUCUUGCUAUUGAUACAAUUUCAGUGAGUGGCGCGAUCCAAUCAGCUGCAGUGCUUCACAAAACAAACUU